rnacentral:lncRNA from 1 species
ACCGUUUUGCGAUUGGGGAAAAGCUAGCCCACUGUCCCUCGCUGGAAAAUUAUAUUGAGGUUGAAGUAAUUUUACGUUUCAAGCAUUGACUCGAACACAACCCCACCUUCCUGUCCUUUUCUAAACUGCUGCAAACAAUUUUUGUUUUUUUAAAGAAGAAGAGUGGCGAACCGUAUCGGCAGUAUCGGUGGCGCACGGCGGUGCCAUGGGUAGGUGGGGCAGCUGCCUAGGUCUUGGGCGGCGCCGUGGUUGGUGAUGGCGUUGAAGUUUCAGCCCGUGCUGCUCGGUGGCAGUGGUGGCCUCGGCUGUGUGGUGAACUCUCUAGGUUCCUCGAGGCAGUGUUGCGGGGCUGCACCGCUCUACGCCGGCAAUAGCGGUCUACGACGGCGUCACGGUGAGCUCUCGACAUUCUGAUGCAUUGCCAAGAUUUAUGCCCCUGUAUUUCUCCUCCCUUUUCUCCCAAUCCAGAAUUCUACUUUCCCUAUGGAACUUAGGCGUAUUGACUUGCCAGAUGUGGCGGCUGCUAUGGUGCUAGGUUUUGGCCUUUCUCAGAUUCGGCGCAGGUUGUUGCAUCCAUACAUGAAGUUUUACUCGUUUCAAUUUGGCUGCACAAAUUUUAGUACGGGCCUUCACCGGAUUUGAUGUUGGGGACAAAUCAAGAGCUUCUGUUUAGAUCUAGCCUACAGAUGCUCCCAGUCCUCCUACUAAGCUCCUAUUUUCAAUAAAUAGUUUACAUUCGGCGGUUUGUGUCUGAUGAAUCCUUCGUUUUGAGUCCCCAUAUGUUGCAUGUUCUAAUAAAUAGCCAUGUUUCUUCUUUAUUAUGAAUAAACUCCAUCUUUUUUCCUUGGAGCUCCACUAUUUUGGAUGAAUUGGACUGUCCCCUGCUACUGAAAAGUACCAUGUCUGGCCAUUUAAACUUAGAAUCGAAUCGGGGUGCUGCUACUGUAUUAGGUUGACCAUCCAGUCAUUGUGAAUCUGCUCUGUUGCACAAGAAGGCAUAGUAAGAAACCGGGAAGGGUGGCACCCCAAUAAGAAGCACAAAUCAUUUAAGCCCAAGUAACCGUGAUCUCAAUGCACAAUAUCAUUGCCUUGCUGAUAGUGAGUAUAAUGUUUUGUCACUUCAGUUAGUCGAAACACUGCUAUUGGGGCUGAUCAUACCUUGAAUUGAUCAAAAUUUGAACCUUUCGGUUACCUCAUAUUGCUAAAGGACACAAAUGUGACUUUUAUUAAACUUUAAUCGUCGUCAUAAAAUUAUGGAUUUUCACUUUGACCGGAAGUUGUUGAGGAUAUCUGUGGAAGGCUUCAGAACUUUUCUCUAGGUGCAGUUCAGAACACUAGUGAGACAUGGUAGCAACUACAAAAAAUUUAGGAUGCAAGAUCACGUUUUCUAUUUCCAAUUCAUGGUGCAUUUGUAGCUCUUUGUCAACUCUAUGAAAGCACUGCAUACACCUGCAGUACACUGAACUUUUUUAGGUUUGGUUAUCAUUUUUUACAUUGUGCUUCAGUCGAGUAAUGAAUGGUUAAGUACCUAUUUAUUGCUACUUUUGAUCUGUUGAUACACACUGGACAGAAUGAUAUAGCUGGGCACGCUCCUAUUCUCUUUAUUCAGAAUGACAUCCAAUGAACUUGAGGUUACACUGGCAUUUGUGUGACUAACAGCUACUCCUUGGAUGAUUACGUGUUUCAGAAUGAAGAUGCUUGAUUAUGUGCUUCAGAAUGAAGAUGCAUGAUUAUGUGCUUCAGGAGCUGCUAGUCGUACCAUAGAAGCAAUUAAUGAACCUCUUCUCGCUAUUUUAAUUUCAAGUGCAAUAAUCUGCUGGAGGUGUUUUCCAUUCAGACAAGUGAAGUUUUGCACCCUGCAAAUGUGCAGAUGUAUUCUGGAAGAAGAAAAGCAUACCCAGUAAGAUGCAAUCCUUGCCAUCUUACUGAGCAAGUUCAUUCAUAUUAUUUUUAGGUCCUCCUUGACAAUGUAUUUGAUCAAUUGUCUAAAGAAUUCCUGGAUUGUCAGAGUAAAAUAAAGUACGUUCAGAAUACUGUUCUUGAUUCAGUAAAAACAAUUACCUAGUUUAACCCGAGCUAUUGUGUUGAAGAACAUACACUGACAAUAAGGAUUGAACUUCUCACAAUGGUAAUGAUGAGUGUGCAAGGACUAUUAAGGUCAUAUAGGUCUAAUUAAAAUUAUCACAGAAAGGAGAGGCGGAAGCUGAGCUCCGCUCUUUUUCUGUCCAGGAGAGAAGUGUUUUUCUCCUUAAAACCUGCACUUCUUAUUGGUUUUAUAGGAAAAAAAAUCUAUGGCUCUAUUGAUUGUAGGUUGUUUAGUAGUGCACUACUAGUACCAUGCCAUACCAUUGGUUUGGACUGAUCGAAGGCAAGUUAAAGGUCAGUUAGAUAAAUGCCGCUACUGUACUCGCACAUCUUAUAUGUCAUUUAGAUUUGUACACACUUUGUAAAAGUGUGACUUCUGUAGGAAAACUCUUCAAUCUGACGUUGUUGUUCAACAGGUCGUAGAGAACAAAGUAGUCAGGCUUCGACCAGAUGUCCAACACCUCCAGAACCUUGAUUGUUGUCUUUCAAAAAGAAACUUGAUUGGUUAUCGUACAUGCCUAAACUCUAUUCUAGAAAGUAGUGCAUGUAAUCAUUAGUUCUAUGAGAGUAUGGAGAUUGAAUUUGCUAUAUUGCAGUCUGGAGCAUACUUCUUUCCAUGUGCAUAUAGGCUUUAUGUGAUUAAUCACCCUAUCACAAGUUCUUCUAGUAUUUGGAUGAAUCCUCUAAGAUAAUUCUGAUUUAAGUAAAUAUCAUCAAUCCACCUAAUGGGAGAAGCUUUAUAUUUAGUUCGAUCAAAACAUUUUCUUUGAAUCUACUUGCCUUAAUCUACUAUCUUUUUACAGUAACAUUCCGACCUAUAUCUGAGAAUUUUGUAGCUUCUUUAUUUCAACAGUAAUGAUUCACUAAGCUCUUAUCUUACCACAUGUUCCAUUUUAUUCUCCGCAUUUUAGAUAUAGCACCCCCUAUUCACCAAGCUCCUAGCACCCUGUGUUUUUAGAUCAAGCCAUUCUUCCGCAAAAAAUAAUUGAUUUGUUGGUCUGAAACCAAAAUAUUUUUGAAAGAAACUAAAUUGUACUACUACUAUCUGCUCAUUUUCUACAAUCUACACUACUACAGCAGGUGGUACAUGCCAGAGAACAUAUUGUUUAUACCUUGAAUCACGUGCUGUUAUUUUCGUUCGUAGCAUUCAUGAUUUGAGUCUCUAUAAAGGUAUCUGAAAGACUAAAAGAGAACAUAUUUUUGAUAAAUGAUGCGUAAUGCCAGAACAGUUGCACACUUGCUUCCUAUACUAAUCAGUUUUUACACUGUAGGUCGCUCAUCUGUAAGUACCCUGAUAACAGUAGACUGAUAUUAAUACAUUUGAAAAUAUGGAAACACACAAAGAUCUUUGACAGCACAGUUAUGCUGAGAGGAGUUUCAAUCUAGGAGAGCUGCAGGCGGGUUGUCUUCUUUCUGAAUCAUAUUUUUGUUGCUUUCUCCCUACUCGGACUGUAUUGGAGUUCUCUCUGGAGUGUUGUGUAAUCAGCUCUGAGGUCAUGAGUAGAGUCCCAGUUCUGUUUUUCUCAAGAGCUGACCUUGUAAAUACUAGCUCCAUGUUUCUUAGAGAUUAUCUAUAAAUUAUUCCCUCUAUUUCAUAUAGUUCAGCGAUAGGCCCUUUGAGGUAAAACUACUCCAUAUAUAUUAAAGAAGUCAAUGUGAGGUUAUUGGAAAUUUCAGUCACUAGUCGAGGAAGAAACUUUUGAAUAAUCGAGGAUGCAAUUCCAUAAAUGGCACCUCCAAAUAAAUUUCCAAAUGAGAAUUUACUACAUCAAAUCCAUGGCGCCUAAUGAACAGGUCUAGAUUAAAAUAGAGGAAAAGGAGAGAGUAUGAAUCACUAUCUAGUUGUUUUUCAUGAAGCAGAAAAUAUCUUUUUAAAGAAGACAAUCAGAUGCAGAUAGAAAGGGUCUUGCGAUGCAUGGAGCUCGUGCAGAUAGAGGUAGUAUAGCCUGCGAGGUAAAUUUACCUCGCGAACCUAUUAUUUCUUUCAGCAGCUGAAUUUGCAUGCGUGAGGAAAAUUUACCUCACAAGCCUUGCUUCUUACGGCAGUGCUCCAUAGUACGUUCCUUUCUCCCUGUUGUAAUCUUACAUCGGGUGUUUUUAUUUCUUACGUUUUAAAGUUCUGGCCGUGGGGUGGCUGGGGUGAGGAAUAAUAAUUCCUCACCCAGGGUAACGCUAUUCUAAGCAUGAAUGUAGAAUAGCUUAUUCUACACCCGCUAGUAACGCUAUGUACAAAAUCUAGUAAAACGGUGUAUAAAAUAUACUAAUUUGAAAAAAAAAUUAUCAUCCAAGUUUGUAAUUUACUACAUUUUUACGAAAAUUACUAUAUUUUAUAUAGUGUGUUGCUGUAUUUUGUAUGUAUCGUUACUGGGGUGUAGAAUAAGCUAUUCUACACUCACGCUUAGUUUAGCGUUACUAUAUAUAUCCCGAUCUCUCCAACAUAUAGAGCUUGCCAAAGGAAAAAGUAUAAAAAGGAAAGGUGAUGAUCACCAUGACUCUUGUAUAAGGGUAGAAGAUAAAAGUAAAAGAUAGGCCCUUCGCAGAGGGAAGCAGAGGUUGUCAUGCGCUUUUGUGGUUGGAUGCACAAAAUCAUAAUGCAAAAAACGUCACUUUAUAUUGCCGCUUGUGAUAAGGACAUUUAUUAUGCAAUCUGUUGUUUUUAUUUCUUCCAUAUCACAAGUUCAUACAAAGCUUAUUUCCUUCACACUAAUAGAUCAUACAUAUUUAGAGAGCAAUUUUUAUUACUUGCACCGAUGACAACUUACUUGAAGGAUCUUACUCAAUCCAUAGGUAGAUAUGGUGGACUCUCAUGGAAAAACUGGGUUUAGGGAUGUUUGGAAGCACAAGUAGUAUCUCUACUUGGUGCAAGGAAUUUGGCUAGUAUGAGAGGGAAAGGCAAGCUCAACAUGUUAGAUGAUCCAUGACUAUAUUACUUAUAUUUGGAUAUAAGAAAAAUAUAACCUAUUAUGUUGUCUUCCUUGUCCACCAUCAACUUUUUAGCAUGUCAUAUUUUAAUGAGUGCUCACAAUUACAAAAGAUGUCCAAGAUAGUAUAUCUAUAUGUGAAGCCUCUGUUUCUUUAUUACUUCUUAUUAAUUGCAAUAAUGACCAAAACUAUGUUUGUCAACUCUCAACAACUUUUAUUCAAUAUACUCUUUAUAUGUGAAGUCAUUACUUUCCAUAAGAUCAAUAUAUGACCUUUUUAUUUAUUCUUUCUAUUAUUUAAUUCCCUCAAGAUCAUAGCAAGAAAGAAAAGCCCUCAACUCAAAACUACUCUUUAUUAUAUAUUUCACGGACUGGAUUACAUAGAGGGAACAUAAAGCAAAAAUCAAGGCUAGAUCAUACUAAAACUUUAUUCUACUAGAUCAAGAUAUAACCAAAAGGAUCGAACUAAGGAAAACAAUAAAGAUAAAGAUGUGAUGGUGAUACGAUACUGGGUGAUACGUCCAUUUUGCAUCAUGUUCUCUUACUGUUAUUUAUAAUGUUUUUAUCCAUAAUAAUGCUUUUUAGAGUAAUUUUAAUGCCCUUUCUCUCAUAAUUUACAAGGUACACAUAAAGAGGGAGAAUUUUGGCAGCUGGAAAUCUGGAGCUAAAAAAGCUACGUCAGGCUAUCUAUUCUGCACAACUCCAAAUAAGAUGAAACUUCACGGGGAUUUUAUGGAAUAUUUAAGAAAUACUGGAGCCAAUAAUCACCAGAGGGGGCCACCAGGUGGGCACAACCCACCUGGGUGCGCCAGGCCCCCCAGGCACGCCCUGGUGGGUUGUGGCCUCCUCGGCCCACCUCCGGUGCCCAUCUUCUGGUACAUAAGUCAUUUUGACCUAGAAACAAAUCAGGAGAGGACUUUUGGGACGAAGCGCCGCCUCCUGGAGGCGGAACUUGGGCAUGAGCACUUUUGCCCUCCGGCGGAGUGAUUCCGCCGGGGGAACUUCCCUCCCGGAGGGGGAAAUCAUCAUCAUCAUCAUCACCAACAACUCUCCCAUCUUGGGGAGGGCAAUCUCCAUCAAAAUCUUCAACAUCACCAUCUCCUCUCAAACCCUAGUUCAUCUCUUGUGUUCAAUCUUGUUACCGAAACUAUAGAUUGUUACUUGUGGGUGACUAGUAGUGUUGAUUACAUCUUGUAGUUGAUUACUAUAUGGUUUAUUUGGUGGAAGAUUAUAUGUUCAGAUCCAUUAUGCUAUUUAAUACCCCUCUGGUCUUGAGCAUGGUUAUUAUUUGUGAGUAGUUACCUUUGUUCUUGAAGUCACGGGAGAAAUCAUGUUGCAAGUAAUCAUGUGAACUUGAUAUGUGUUCGAUAUUUUGAUAGUAUGUAUGUUGUUAUUCCCUUAGUGGUGUCAUGUGAACGUCGACUACAUGACACUUCACCAUAUUUGGGCCUAAGGGAAUGCAUUGUGGAGUAGCAAUUAUAUGGUAGGUUGCAAGAGUGAAAGAAGCUUAAACCCCAGUUUAUGCGCUAUUUCGUAAGGGACCGACUGGAUCCAAAAGUUUAAUGCUAUGGUUAGAAUUUAUUCUUAGUACUUUUCUCGUAGUUGCGGAUGCCCGCGGGAGGGUUAAUCAUAAGUAGGAGGUUUGUUGAAGUAAGAACAACACCUAAGCACCGGUCCACCCACAUAUCAAAUUAUCAAAGUAGCGAACACAAAUCGAACCAACAUGAUGAAAGUGACUAGAUGAAAUUCCCAUGCACCCUCAAGAACGCUUUGCUUAUCAUAAGAGACCGUUUUGGCAUGUACUUUGCCUCAAAAGGAUUGGUCUACCUUGAUGCAUACUUGUUACUAUUAUCAUUACUUGUUCGUUACAAAUUAUCUUGCUAUCAAACUACUCAACUACUUACAAUUUCAGCACUUGCAGACAUUACCUAAUUGAAAACUACUUGUCAUUUCCUUCUGCUCCUCGUUGGGUUCGACACUCUUACUUAUUGAAAAGAUCUACAAUUGAUCCCCUAUACUUGUGGGUCAUCAAGUCUAUUUUCUGGUGCCGUUGCCGGGGAGUGAAGCGCCUUUGGUAAGUGGAAUUUGGUAAGGAAACAUUUAUAUAGUGUGCUGAAAUUUAUUGUCACUUGUUACUAUGGAAAACAAUCCUUUGAGGGGUUUGUUCGGGGUAUCUUCACCUCGUCCGGAACCACAAUUAGUUACCCCUCAACCUACUGCACCUACUAAAAAUAUUGAAUAUGAAAUUCCUUCGGGUAUGAUAGAACAACUGCUAGCUAAUCCUUAUGCAGGAGAUGGAACCGAACAUCCUGAUAUGCACUUGAUAUAUGUGGAACAAAUUUGUGGAUUGUUUAAGCUUGCAGGUUUACCCAGGGAUGAAGUGAUGAAAAAGGUUUUCCCUUUAGAUUUUAAGGGAAAAGCAUUGGCGUGGUAUAGGCUAUGUGAUGAUAUUGGAUCAUGGAAUUGGAAACGUUUGAAAUUGGAGUUCCACCAACAAUUUUAUCCUAUGCAUCUAGUUCAUCGUGAUCGGAAUUAUAUAUAUAAUUUUUGGCCUCGUGAAGGAGAAAGUAUCGCUCUAGUUUGGGGGAGGCUUAAGUCAAUGUUAUAUUCAUGCCCGAGUCAUGAGCUCUCAAGAGAAAUUAUUAUUCAGAAUUUUUAUGCUCGGCCUUCUAGUAAUGAUCAAACCAUGCUUGAUACUUCUUGUGCUGGUUCAUUUAUGAAGAAGAUUAUUGAAUUUCGGUGGGAUAUUUUAGAAAGAAUUAAACGCAACUCUGAAGAUUGGGAACUCGGUGAAGGUAAAGAGUUAGGUAUUAAAAUUAAAUAUGAUUGUGUUAAAUAUUUUAUGGAUACAGAUGCUUUUCAAAAGUUUAACACUAAAUACAGACUUGACUCUGAGAUAGUAACCUCCUUUUGUGAAUCAUUUGCUACUCAUGUUGAACUCCCCAAAGAGAAGUGGUUUAAAUAUCACCCACCUAUUAAAAAAGAAACCAAAGAGCCGGUACCAGUUAAAGAAGAAACUACACUUUAUAAUGUUGAUCCAGUUGUUCCCUCUGCUUAUAUUAAGAAACCCCCUUUCCCUGUUAGGAUAAAGGAACAUGCUAAAGUUUCAACUGUGGUUAGCAAAAGUUAUAUUAGAACACCUAAACCUGAUGAACAAAUUAAAUUUGAACCUAGUAUUGCUAUGGUUAAAGAUCUCUUAGAAGAAGAUAUGGAUAAGCAUAUUAUUUACUUCUGUGAAGAAGCUGCUAGAAUUGCUAAACCUGACAAAAAAGAUAAACAUAGACUAGUUGUUGGCAUGCCUGUCAUCUCAGUUAAAAUAGGCGAUCACUGUUAUCAUGGUUUAUGUGACAUGGGUGCUAGUGUGAGUGCUAUUCCUUACACUUUAUAUGAAGAAAUCAUGAAAGACAUUACACCUGCUGAGAUAGAAGAAAUAGUUGUUACUAUUAAACUUGCCAAUAGAGACACCAUAUCACCAAUUGGGAUUAUUAGAGAUGUUGAAGUCUUGUGUGGGAAAAUAAAAUACCAUACUGAUUUUUUUGUUCUUGGCUCCCCACAAGAUGACUUUUGUCCCAUUAUCUUUGGUAGACCUUUCUUGAAUACAGUUAAUGCUAAGAUAGACUGUAAGAAACAAACUGUUGGUGUUAGCUUUGGUGAUGAGUCUCAUGAGUUUAAUUUUUCCAAGUUUAGUAGAAAUAUUCAUGAAAAAGAAUUACCUAGUAAGGAUGAAUUAAUUGGUCUUGCUUCUAUUGUUGUUCCACCUACUGAUCCUUUAGAACAAUAUUUGCUAGACCAUGAAAAUGAUUCACAUAUGCAUGAAAGAAAUGAAAUAGAUAAAAUUUUCUUUGAACAACGUCCUCUACUUAAACACAAUUUGCCUAUUGAAACUCUAGGAGGUCCUCCUCCACCUAAAGGUGAUCCUGUGUUUGAAUUAAAACAAUUGCCAUACACUUUGAAAUAUGAUUAUCUUGAUGAAAAGAUAAUAUAUCUUGUUAUUAUCAGUGCUAACCUUUCAGAACAUGAAGAAGAAAGAUUAUUGAAAGUUCUAAGGAAGCACCGAGCUACUAUUGGAUAUACUCUUGAUAAUUUAAAGGGCAUUAGUCCCACUCUAUGUCAGCACAAAAUUAAUAUGGAGCCUGAUGCUAAACCCGUUGUUGAUCACCAACGUCGGUUAAAUCCGAAGAUGAAAGAAGUGGUAAGAACAGAAAUAUUAAAGCUUCUGGAAGCAUGUAUAAUCUAUCUCAUAGCUGAUAGUAGAUGGGUAAGUCAUGUUCAUUGUGUUCCUAAGAAAGGAGGUAUAACUGUUGUUCCUAAUGAUAAGAAUGAGCUUAUUCCAUAAAGAAUUGUUACAUGCUAUAGAAUGGUAAUUGAUUAUAGAAAAUUAAAUAAAGCAACUAGAAAAGAUCAUUACCCUUUGCCUUUUAUUGAUCAAAUGCUUGAAAUAUUAUCUAAGCACACACAUUUUCGCUUCCUUGAUGGAUACCCUGGCUUUUCACAAAUACCUGUUUCUCAACCUCAUCAAGAAAAGACUACUUUUACUUGUCCCUUUGGAACUUAUGCUUAUAGACGUAUGCCUUUUGGUUUAUGUAAUGCACAUGCUACCUUUCAAAGAUGUAUGACUGCUAUAUUCUCUGACAUUUGUGAAAAGAUUGUUGAGGUUUUCACGGAUGACUUCUCUGUCUAUGGGAAGUCUUUUGAUGAUUGUUUAAGCAAUCUUGAUUGAGUUUUGCAGAGAUGCGAACAAACAAAUCUUGUCUUGAAUUGGGAGAAGUGCCACCUUAUGGUUGAUGAAGGCAUUGUCUUGGGUCAUAAAAUUUCUGAAAGAGGUAUUCAAGUGGACCAAGCUAAGGUUGGUGCAAAAAAUGCCAUGUCCUAAGGACAUCAAAGGUAUUCAUAGUUUCCUAGAUCAUGUUGGUUUCUAUAGGAGAUUUAUCAAAGACUUUUCUAAAAUUUCUAGGCCUCUUACUAAUCUUUUGCAAAAGGAUAUUCCUUUUGUUUUUAUGAUGAUUGUCUUGAAGCUUUUGAAACACUCAAGAAAGCUUUAAUUUCUGCACCUAUUGUUCAACCACCUGACUGGAACUUGCCUUUUGAAAUUAUGUGUGAUUCUAGUGAUUAUGCUGUUGGUACUAUUCUAGGACAAAGAGUUGAUAAGAAACUUAAUGUUAUUCAUUAUGCUAGUAAAACUCUAGACAGUGCUCAAAGAAAUUAUGCUACUACUGAAAAAUAAUUCUUAGCAGUGGUGCUUGCUUGUGAUAAAUUUAGACCUUAUAUUGUUGAUUCCAAAGUAACUGUUCACACAGACCAUGCUGCUAUUAAAUAUCUUAUGGAAAAGAAAGAUGCUAAACCUAGACUUAUUUGUUGGGUUCUCUUGUUGCAAGAAUUUGAUUUACAUAUCAUUCAUAGAAAAGGAGCCGAGAACCCGGUAGCUGAUAACUUGUCUAGGCUUGAAAAUGUGCUUGAUGACCCACUACCUAUCGAUGAUAGUUUUCCUGAUGAGCAGUUAGCUGCAAUAAAUGGUGCUCAUAGUACUCCUUGGUAUGAUGACUAUGCUAAUUACAUUGUUGCUAAAUAUUUACCACCUAACUUUACAUACCAACAAAAGAAAAAAAUCUUCUAUGAUUUAAGACAUUACUUUUGGGAUGGCCCACAUCUUUAUAAAGGAGUAGAUGGUAUUAUUAGACGUUGUGUACCUGAGCAUGAACAGGGAAAAAUCCUAUGGAAAUUUCACUCCGAGGCUUAUGGAGGGCAUCAUGCUGGAGAUAGAACUGCUCACAAGGUAUUGCAGUCUGGAUUUUAUUGGCCUACUCUCUUCAAGGAUGCUCGUAAGUACGUCUCAUCUUGUGAUGAAUGUCAGAGAAUAGGUAAUAUCGGUAAGCGUCAAGAAAUGCAUAUGAAUUAUUCACUUGCUGUUGAACCAUUUGUUGUUUGGGGAUUUGAUUACAUGAGACCUUUUCCUUCCUCUAAUGGGUAUAAGCCAUUCCAACCAGUAGUGUUGAUCACAACACCUCUAUUAAAAUGCUUAAGGAAGUUAUUUGUCCAAGGUUUGGAGCCCUAGAUAUUUAAUGACUCAUGGUGGUUCACACUUAUUCAUGGUGCUUUCCGUAAAAUGCUUGCCAAGUAUGAUGUUAACCAUAUAAUUGCAUCACCCUAUCAUCCUCAGUCUAGUGGUCAAGUUGAACUUAGCAAUAGAGAAAUAAAAUUAAUAUUGCAAAAGAUUGUCAAUAGGCCCAGGAAGAAUUGGUCUAAGAAAUUAGAUGAUGCACUUUGGGCUUAUAGAACAGCUUAUAAAAAUCCUAUGGGUAUGUCUCCAUAUAAAAUGGUUUAUGGAAAAGCUUGCCAUUUGCCUCUUGAGUUAGAACAUAAAGCAUAUUGGGCAAUCAAAGAACUCAGUUAUGAUUUCAAACUUGCUGGUGAAAAGAGGUUAUUUGAUAUUAGCUCUUUAGAUGAAUGGAGAACCCAAGCUUAUGAAAAUGCAAAGUUAUUCAAAGAAAAAGUUAAAAGAUGGCAUGACAAAAGAAUCCAAAAGCAUGAGUUUAAAGUCGGAGAAAAUGUUCUUUUGUACAACUCCCAUUUUAGAUUUUUUGCAGGAAAGAUCCUCUCAAAAUGGGAAGGCACAUAUGUCAUCGAGGAGGUUUACCGGUCUAGAGCCAUCAAAACUUUAAACUCACGCUUUUGUAUCCUUUUGUCAUGCCAUCUUUUAACCUUUUCUUUAAACAACUCGACAUUCUCAUAGGCUUGUGUUCUCCAUUCAUCAAGUGAGCUAAUGUCAAAUAACCUCUUCUCACCGCCAAGUUUGAAAUCAUAAUUGAGCUCUUUAAUAGCCCAAUAUGCCUUAUGUUCUAGUUCAAGAGGCAAAUGACAUGCUUUUCCGUAAACCAUUUUAUACGGAGACAUACCCAUAGGAUUCUUAUAAGCAGUUCUAAAAGCCCAUAAUGCAUCAUCAAGUUUCUUAGUCCAAUUCUUUCUAGAUCUAUUAACAGUCUUUUGCAAAAUUAAUUUAAUCUCUCUAUUGCUCAAUUCUACUUGACCACUAGACUGAGAAUGAUAUGGAGAUGCAAUUUUAUGGUUAACAUCAUACUUAGCAAGCAUUUUACGGAAAGCACCAUGAAUAAAAUGUGAACCACCAUCAGUCAUUAAAUAUCUAGGGACUCCAAACCUUAGAAAAAUAACUUCUUUAAGCAUCUUAAUAGAAGUUUUAUGAUCAACACUACUAGCUGGAAUAGCUUCUACCCACUUAGUAACGUAAUCAACAGCAACUAAAAUAUGUGUAUACCCAUUAGAGGAAGGAAAAUAUCCCAUAUAAUCAAAGCCCCAAACAUCAAAUGGUUCAAUAACAAGUGAGUAGUUCAUUGGCAUUUCCUCAUGUCUACCAAUAUUACCAAUUCUCUGGCAUCCAUCACAUGACAAGAAAAACUUACGAGCAUCCUUGAAGAAAGUAGGCCAAUAAAAAUCAGAUUGCAAUACCUUAUGUGCAGUUCUGUCUCCAGCGUGGUGUCCUCCAUAAGACUCGGAGUGGCACUUGCGUAGGAUUUGUCCCUGUUCAUGCUCAGGUACACAACGUCUAAUAACACCAUCUACUCCUUUAUAAAGGUGUGGGUCAUCCCAAAAGUAAUGUCUUAAAUCAUAGAAAACCUUUUUCUUUUGCUAGUAUGUGAAACUAGGUGGUAUAAAUUUAGCAACAAUGUAAUUAGCAUAAUCAUCAUACCAUGGAGUAUUACGAGAAGCAUUUAUGCCAUUUAAAUGUUCAUCAGGAAAACUAUCAUCAAUAGGUAGUGGGUCAUCAAGAACAUUUUCUAACCUAGACAAGUUGUCUGCAACGGGGUUCCCAGCUCCCUUUCUAUCAAUAUUAUGCAAAUCAAAUUCUUGUAGCAAGAGAACCCAUCUAAUAAUUGUAGGUUUAGCAUCUUUAUUUUCCAUAAGAUAUUCAAUAUCAGCAUAAUCGGUGUGAACAGUUACUUUGGAAUCAACAAUAUAAGGUCCGAACUUAUCACAUGCAAAUACAACUGCUAAAAAUUCUUUGUAAGUAGUAGCAUAAUUUCUCUGGGCACUGUCUAGAGUUUUACUAGCAUAUUGAAUAACAUUUGAUUUCUUAUCAACUCUUUGUCCUAGAACAACACCAACAACAUAAUCACUAGCAUCACACAUAAUUUCAAAAGGUAAGUUCCAAUUAGGUGGCUGAACAAUAGGUGCAGAAAUCAAGGCUUUCUUAAGUAUUUCAAAUGCUUCUACACAAUCGUCAUAAAAAACAAAAGGAACAUUGAGGGAGUCCUGGAUUAGGGGGUAUCCGGACAGCCGGACUAUAUCCUUUGGCCGUACUGUUGGACUAUGAAGAUACAAGAUUGAAGACUUCGUCCCGUGUCCGGAUAGGACUCUCCUUGGCGUGGAAGGCAAGCUUGGCAAUACAGAUAUAUAGAUCUCCUUCCUUGCAACCGACUCUGUGUAACCCUAGACCCCUCCGGUGUCUAUAUAAACCGGAGGGUUUUAGUCCGUAGGACAACAGACAAUCAUACCAUAGGCUAGCUUCUAGGGUUUAGCCUCUCCGAUCUCGUGGUAGAUCAACUCUUGUACUACUCAUAUUAUCAUGAUUAAUCAAGCAGGACGUAGGGUUUUACCUCCAUCAAGAGGGACCGAACCUGGGUAAAACAUCGUGUCCCCUGCCUCCUGUUACCAUCCGCCUUAGACGCACAGUUUGGGACCCCUACCCGAGAUCCGCCGGUUUUGACACCGACAUUGGUGCUUUCUUUGAGAGUUCCUCUGUGUCGUCAUCAUUAGGCUUGAUGGCUCCUUCAAUCAUCGAUAGCGAUGCAGUCCAGGGUGAGACUUUUCUCCCCGGACAGAUUUUUGUAUUCGGCGGCUUCGACUGUGGGCCAACUCGCUUGGCCAUCUGGAGCAGAUCGAGAGUUACGCCCCUGGCCACUAGGUCAGGUUUGGAAGCUUAAACUACACGGCCGACAUCCGCGGAGACUUGAUCUUCGACGGAUUCGAGCCCCUGCCGAGUGCGCCGCACGGUCACGAUGAGCAUGAUUUAGCUCUACCAUCGGAUAGUGUUCAGGAGACCACACCGGGAACCGCUCCGACCCUCAAUUCAGAGCCAAUUGCGCCAUCCAUGGACGAGUGGAUAGACCCUGCCACGGAGGCCGUAUUCUCAGCGACGAUCGAGCCGAGGAUUGACCUUACCCUUCACGGGAGCCGUGACGCCGAACUACCGGAUUCUUCCCCGGCCACGGACUCCGAACCGCCUGUGCCUGUCGAAUCCGACUGGGCGCCGAUCAUGGAGUUCACCUCCGCGGAUAUCUUUCAGCACUCGCCUUUCGGCGACAUACUGAACUCAUUAAGGUCUCUCUCCUUGUCAGGAGAGUCCUGGCCGAACUAUGUCAGGCAGGAUUGGGAUGCAGAUGACGAAGAAAUUUGCCGCCCUCCCACCACCCACUUAGUAGCCACUAUCGACGAUUUGACCGACAUGCUCGACUUCGACUCCGAAGACAUCGACGACAUGGACGACGAUGCAGGAGGCGAACAAGAACCACUGCCCACAGGGUACUGGAAAGCCACCUCAUCAUAUGAUAUAUAUAUAUGGUGGACACACCCAAAGAAGGCAAUGGCGAUGGGACAACGGAGGAUGACCCCUCCAAGAAGCAACCCAAGCGCCAGCGUCAACGGCGCCGCUCUAAGUCUCGCCAAGGCAAAAGCGGUGACACCGGCACAGGAGAUAAUAGCACUCCGGACAGUGCCGAAGAUAACAACAAUCCCCUCCAGCAAGAUUUAGAGCAGGAGGAUGGAGAAGCCAGCCCUCCCGAGAGAGCGGCAGAUGGAGAGGCGGAGGAUGAUAAUUACAUGCCUCCCUCCAAAGACGAGGCAAGCCUCGAUGAUGAUGAAUUUGUCGUGCCUGAGGAUCCCGUCGAACAAGAGCGCUUCAAGCGCCGGCUUAUAACCACGGCAAAUAGCCUUAAGAAAAAGCAACAACAGCUUCAAGCUGAUCAAGAUUUGCUAGCUGACAGAUGGACUGAAGUCCUUGCGACCGAGGAAUAUAAACUCGAAUGCCCCUCCAAGAGUUACCCAAAGCGCAGGUUGCUACCCCGACUGGAGGAGGAAGCACCAAAACCUACAUCUCCAGCGUAUGACGCGGCUGAUCGGCCACCCUGUGGCCGCGACAGAGAGGCAUUUCAGCCAAAAGCUCAGCCCGCACCCCGACGCCACUCAAAUAAAAAUGUCAAGUCAUGGGGAAAUACGCCAGACCUGCGAGAUGUAUUGGAGGACAAAGCAAAACACGCAUGAUCGAUCUACGAAUCACGAGGGUGCGCCACUAUGCGAGACGAUAACCGUCACGCCGGAUACAGUAAAAGUAAGUCCGGCCGGGCCGAACACAGCGGACAAGACUCAUUUGAGCUGUGUCGUGAUAUAGCCUAGUACAGAGGCGCUUCAUACCCCCUAUGCUUCACAGACGAAGUAAUGGAUCACCAAAUCCCAGAGGGUUUCAAACCCGUAAAUAUCGAAUCAUACGACGACACAACAGAUCCUGCGGUAUGGAUCGAGGACUUCCUCCUGCACAUCCAAAUGGCCCGCGGUGACGAUCUACACGCCAUCAAAUACCUCCCACUCAGACUCAAAGGACCAGCUCAGCAUUGGCUCAGCAGCCUGCCAGCAGAAUCCAUUGGCUGUUGGGAAGAUCUGGAAGCCGCAUUCCUCGACAACUUCCAGGGCACUUAUGUGCGACCACCAGAUGCCGAUGACUUGAGCCACAUAAUUCAACAGCCAGAGGAAUCAGCCAUGCAAUUCUGGACACGGUUCCUAACAAAGAAAAAUCAAAUCAUCGACUGUCUGGAUGCAGAGGCCCUAGCAGCUUUUAAGCACAACAUCCGCGACGAGUGGCUCGCCCGGCACCUUGGCCAGGAAAAGCCGAAAUCUAUGGCAGCCCUCACAACACUCAUGACCCACUUUUGCGCGGGAGAAGACAGCUGGCUGGCUCGCAGCAAUAAUAUAUCAAAGAAUCAUGGUACUUCGGAUACCAAGGAAGGCAAUGGCAGGUCACGUCGCAACAAAUAGGAGCGCCGCAUCAACAGCGACAAUACCGAGGAUACGACAGUCAAUGCCGGAUUCAAAGGCUCUAAACCCGGCCAGCAGAAAAAGUCAUUCAAAAGAAGCACUCCGGGCCCGUCCAGUUUGGACCAUAUACUCGAUCGCUCGUGUCAAAUACAUGGCACCCCGACAAGCCAGCCAACCACACCUGAGGGAGUCCUGGAUUAGGGGGUGUCCGGAUAGCCGGACUAUACCUUCGGCCAGACUCCUGGACUAUGAAGAUACAAGAUUGAAGACUUCGUCCCGUGUCCGAAAGGGACUUUUCUUGGCGUGGAAGGCAAGCUUGGCGAUACGGAUAUGUAGAUCUCCUACCAUUGUAACCGACUCUGUGUAACCCUAGCCCUCUCCGGUGUCUAUAUAAACCGGAGGGUUUUAGUCCGUAGGACGAACAACAAUCAUACCAUAGGCUAGCUUCUAGGGUUUAGCCUCCUUGAUCUCGUGGUAGAUCUACUCUUGUACUACCCAUAUCAUCAAUAUUAAUCAAGCAGGACAUAGGGUUUUACCUCCAUCAAGAGGACCCGAACCUGGGUAAAACAUUGUGUCCCCUGCCUCCUGUUACCAUCCGCCUAGACGCACAGUUCGGGACCCCCUACCCGAGAUCCACCGGUUUUGACACCGACAUUGGUGCUUUCAUUGAGAGUUCCUCUGUGUCGUCACUUUUAGGCCCGAUGGCUCCUCCGAUCAUCAACGAUGAUGCGAUCCAGGGUGAGACUUUUCUCCCCGGACAGAUCUUAGUAUUUGGCGGCUUUGCACUGCGGGCCAAUUCGCUUGGCCAUCUGGAGCAGAUCAAAAGCUACGCCCCUGGCCAUCAAGUCAGAUUUGAAAGUUUGAACUACAUGGCCGACCUCCGCGGAGACUUGAUCUUCGACGGAUUCGAGCCGCAGCCGAGCGCGCCGCACUGUCACGAUGGGCAUGAUCUUGCUUUGCCGCCGAACAGUGCCCUGGAGGCCGCACCCGCAUCAGCUCCGACCCUUAAUUCGGAGCCAACUGCGCCAAUCGAGGAUGGGUGGUUGGACACCGCCUCGGGGGCUGCAAUCUCUACGGCGAUCGAGCCGAACACCAGCCCUAUUCUCUGCGAAGCCCGUGACUCCAAGGAGCCGGACUCCUCUCCAGACUCCGAGCCCUCCUCGCCCCUACCGAUCUAACCCGAUUGGGCGCCGAUCAUGGAGUUCACCGCCGCGGACAUCUUUCAGCACUCGCCCUUCGGCGAUAUUCUGAAUUCACUAAAGUCUCUCUCUUUAUCAGGAGAGCCCUGGCCGGACUAUGGUCAACAAGGUUGGGAUGCGGAUGACGAAGAAAUUCAAAGCCAACCUACCACCCACUUCAUAGCCACUGUCGAUAAUUUAAACGACGUGCUCGACUUCGACGCCGAAGACAUCGACGGUAUGGACGGUGAUGUAGGAGAUGAACAUGAACCAACGCCUAUAAGGCACUGGACAUCCACCUCAUGUCAUGAUGUAUACAUGGUGGACACACCCAAAGGAAGCAACGACGAGGAACACAGGGAUGCAAUGAGGGAUCGUUCACUCAAAAAGCAAUCAAAGCGGCGAUGAAAGCGCCGCUCCAAGCCCCACCUCGACAGAGACAGCAACCAUACAGACCCAGCCAUAGAGCAGGACGAGCCGGCGGAUGACGAACAUGCCUUCGAGCAACCGUCCGAACAGGGCAUCUUGGAUAAACAAACCGAACACCCCGUCCCCGGCGAAAACAACAGUCCGGACGACCUUACGCCGGAUAGGCUCAUGGAGCAGAAGAACCUCCACGAAUGGCUCGUCGCCACUGUGCGUAGCCUGAAAAAUCAGAAGCGGAAGCUCAAAACUGCGGAAGAUGCACUCACAAUCAGAUGGAGCAAAGUACGCAACACCGCAGACAAAUAUGGCGGCAGUCGCCGCACAAAAAGCUAUCCAAAGCGAAAGCUACUGCCUGAAUUUGACAAGGAGGCCUUAGAGCCCCCGCAGUAAAAAAUUAGGAAAGCAACCCGGUCGGAUAGACGACCGCAUGGCCAGCAUGAAGCGGCAAGCGGCGACGCACACAAGCCGGCACGCGAUCCACCAAAGGAUCCGCAUCAAAAAGAUGGCCCAGCCAGAUCUAUCUACGGGCCAAGAAAGCAAGCUCUAGUAAGCAAUGCAACACAACAAAUAUCCGAACAUCACGGCACACCCAAAUACAGGGGUGCCGCACACCCCCUAUGUUUCACCGAUGAGGUGCUGAACCAUGAAUUUCCAAUGGGAUUCAAGCCUGUAAACAUAGAGGCGUACGACGGAACAACAGACCCUGGGGUCUGGAUCGAGGAUUAUAUCCUCCACAUACACAUGGCCAGAGGAGAUGACCUCCACGCCAUAAAAUACUUACCCCUCAAGCUUAAAGGGCCAGCCCGGCAUUGGCUCAAAAGCCUUCCCGAAAACACCAUUGGAAGUUGGGAAGAGCUUGAGGAUGCUUUCCGGGCAAAUUUUCAAGGGACCUAUGUCCGCCCUCCGGAUGCAGACGAUCUCAGUCACGUAACUCAACAGCCCGGAGAGUCAGCCCGGAAAUUCUAGAACAGAUUUCUUACUAAAAAGAAUCAGAUAGUCGACUGUCCGAACGCCGAAGCCCUAGCAGCUUUUAAGCAUAACGUUCGAGACGAAUGGCUCGCCAGACACCUCGGCCAAGAAAAGCCAAGAACAAUGGCCGCAUUAACAAGCCUCAUGACCCGCUUUUGCGCAGGAGAGGACAGCUGGUUGGCAAGAUGUAGCACCAGUGACCCAAGUACAUCUGAAGUUAGGGAUGGAAACGGAAAACCCCGACGCAGCAAGGACCAACGCCAGAAUAAGGGAAACAACCCAAAGAGCACGACGGUCAAUGCCGGAUUCAAAAGCUCGCGGCAGAAUCAGAGAAAGGCGCCCCUCAAGGAUAACAGGGAUGAGCUAUCCAACUUAAACAAAAUCUUGGACAAGAUAUGUCACACAGUACUCCCGGGAAGCCUGCGAUCGAUACCCACAGAGAUUGUUGGGUUUUCAAGCAAUCCGGCAAACUCAACGCCGAACACAAGGGGCUCAACACACCAAGUGAGGACGACGACGAACCCCACAAGCAGAGCACUAGGAAACAAAAAGAUUUCCCACAAGAAGUCAAAACAGUAAACUUACUUCACGUGACGAACAGAAUGGCGCCAACAGAGAUACGCGCCAUACGGCCUAUCCCAAAGGAGUCUCGCCAAUGGUUGUUAAAACCGAUCACCUUCGACCAUCAGGAUUACUCUAGAAGUAUCCGGAACGCAGGCUGGACUGCCUUGGUAUUAGAUCCAAUAAUCGACGGACUCCACUUUACAAAUGUCCUAAUGGACGGCAGCAGUGGUCUAAACCUGUUAUACCAGGACACAAUCCGCAACAUGGGGAUAGACCUAACAAAAAUUCGCCAUAUUAAAACCUCCUUUCAAGGGGUAAUGCCAGGCCCGGAUGCCCGUUGCAUGGGUUCUCUCCGGCUAGAAGUUAUGUUCGGCUCCCCCGAUAACUUCCGUCGCGAACAACUAACUUUCCACAUCGCCCCAUUCUCAAGUAGCUAUCAAGCACUGCUGGGACGCGAAGCUUUCCCCGCUUUAACACAAUACCGCAUUAUGCAUCUCUUACGCUUAAGAUGCCCGGUCCACGAGGCAUCAUCUCAUUAAAGGGAAAACAUUGAGUGUUCCCCCCGCGCGGAAGAUAGUGCUGCUGCCUUGACAGCCCCACAAUAAAGCGGCUUCACCAGCCAAAGCACCUAAACAGGUCGUCAAGACCACGGACACGGCUAGACGAAUCCGGCAUAAACAUACAAUGGAUAAAGGCUUAAUAGCCGUAUACCCCUGUACUAGGGGCUCCGCGCAUAUAAAACAAGAGACAAUAAAGCUCAAUUUUACCCAUUUCGAUUUAUACUUUGUUUAUUUAGUAUAACUCAUGUUCGGCACGAUCUUUCCUAAACUAAGUUCCUCUCUUUUACAGAUGAACACCAUGCUACGCCCGUCCAGGAUACGGCACAACGGAGACACAGGCGCAGACGUGCAGCAGGGACCCGUUCCAAGGAUUCUUUUCAGAUUAAGACCCUGCGUAAACCUUUUUUACUGUCUCUUGUUGAUACACAUCCCCUGGUUUCUUGGUAUAACCAAGGAGGAGGCUGGCGUUUUGGCAUGUGGCCACGUCAGAGUUUUGCGCGUACCUGGACACUAGGGGCUUAUUACUAAGGGCGUUAUCCCGCCCGCCCUCAUAAAGACCGAAUACCUUAGGGAGUGUUCGGCGUCGCGAGUUUGGCCUUAUAUGCAUCAGCUCCGAAUCAUGUCUUUGGUCAAAUGUUGGGUUUGCCCGGCUCCUGUGUUUUGCUACCUUACGUUCCGCUCUAUCGGCUAAGGCGGCACCAGGAGAACUACUGCGAUUGUGCCCCGGUUCGGCCAGGCGAGCACCUCAGUAGAGAAAGCCGACAAUUGACUGUCAUGAUAUAGCGUGAGACUGGUCAACCACUCGAUGACUUACCGGAAUCUUUAGGAUUCCUCCGCAUUAACGAAGGGCAGCUUCCCGGCCAAGCACAUACGCGCCCCGAGUUCGGGCAAGCGCAGGCGCCACCAGGGGCUAUAUAAGUAGCCUCACUGUCAAACUCCUAUGGCUAAGUGAAAGUGAUAAAGCAACAUUGUCCGAUUGCCUAGUUCGCUGCGCUAUCACGUCCUUUGUAGGACCAAGACGUUGGAUCAAGUGUGAAAAUGCGCCUUCUGCGAACACUCCCGCAUUAUGUGCGUGGGGGCUGAAGCCGAUGACUGCCUUCUUUCAGAUUAUAUAUACAUAUAUGUUAAAUGGCCGCACAGGAGGUAUUAUAAUACUUGCAGGCACAAGUAUAAAAAGCUUCUACAAUUUAUCAAAAUGUUGUUUUACAAUAAUAUAUGCUAUUCAAAUAUAGUAUCCAUCGAGCAUUGCGUCUCUAUUAAACAAGCGCCUUGCAGAACUUCCUGAAAAUAGUGCUCGGCAGGUACUCGGCUUCCAUCCGAGUCUGGGAAUGCAAUAGUGGUGGCCUCCAUUUCCGCCCAGUAUGUCUUCACACGGGCAAGAGCCAUCCGCGCACCCUCUAUGCACGCUGACCUCUUCAUCGCAUUGAUAUGCGGCGCCGCACCAAGGAACUGCUGCACUAAGUUGAAAUAACUUUUCGGCUCUGGCCUCUCUGGCCACAGAUGACUCAUGACAUACUUCAUGGCGAGUCCGGACAACCUAUUUAGCUUGGCCCAUUCGGCCAAACGAUCGGCUAAUGACAGUGGACGCUCCGGAUUGUGGAACUGCGACCAAAAGUGCUUUUCCACUUCGCGAUCUUCUUGAUCUCGGAAGUGUUCGGCCGCAUCUGCGGCACUCGCUGCCAAAUCCAGAUAGGUGUCCGCCGUACUCCACAUCCGGUCUAACGGAGCAUGUUUAGGAUCACAUAACUUCCUCCGCAGCAUAAAGGGCUUUCCAGCCGCGAUCUCUCCGGCCAGACGCAGCUCCUCCUUCGUAGCUCUCAUCAUAGAGCGAGCAUCCUUGGCAUCGGCAACGGCCUUCUCCAGGUCCGUCUGUUUCGCCCGAUCUUCUUUUUCAAGAAGCUUGCAACGGUUAGCAGCGUUCUUCAGCUUCAGGCCAUCUCGGCCAUUUCCUUCUUGCUUCGGCAGUGAGCAGCCUGUUCGGCUUUCAGCUCUUCAAUUGCCUUUAAGGCAGUCACAUCACUUUUCCUGGCUUGCUCCUUGGCUCGGGCAAGUUCCGUUCGAAGAUUCUCCAUGGCAGCAGCACCAUCUGCAUCAAGCGCACACAUUGUAAGAUACUGGCAUAAAGCUCCUCUUACCAGGUGCCGCCGGAGGAAUUACAUACCUUGUGCCUCGUCAAGCCGCUUGUUGACAAGCGCGAUAUCGGCAUCCGCCACGUCAAGUUGCCUCUUUAGCUCGGCACCUUCAUCAGUCCGGCUGGCCACCGGACACUUCGCCACCUACGUAUGAAGGCGGCAUGUUAGACCUGGGAUUAUGAUCCUCUGCGCGCCGUCACUUUUGACAACACACAGAGUCUCAGGGGCUACUAUCUACAUAGGGCGCAUCUUAUUUAUGCGCAACUGUCCAAAAAUGGUACAUUAUUUCGCGUACCUCAAAACCUGUCAGUAAACUCCUGACGGCCUCGUGCAAUCCACUCUCCGUGGAUGAAAUCCUCUCAAUCACCGUACCCAUCAAUGCACGGUGCUCCUCUGAGAUAGAUGCUCGUCCUAGCAGAUUCUUCAGCUCCUCCGACCGCGCACCAGACAGCGCCGGACUCGUCCGAUGGCCCUUUUCGAAGGCCGGACGCGGAGGGCCUUGGGGGGCCAUAUGACUACCUUCCGGCCCUGGCGGAUUCGGAGAAACCCUCCACGACGAUACCUCAGGGUCGCAUGCCUCGCAAGGCGGUAUGGCAGGGGGAGGCGUUCCGCUCUCCAUCAUCUCCGGAAGAAGAUCCCCCGAAGACGAGCUCUGCUGAGAAGGGCUAAGGUUCGAGCUACAAGGUAAAUUUUUGAUUACUUUUCUCAGAUAUAAAGCAAGGAUUUCUCUCAUUUCUUAAAAAGAAAACUCCUCUAUACUUACAGCUCGGUGGAGGGUUGAUCCCCUUGAGGGCAUAAUUCGGCCGAAGUAUCCCCCAACACAGGACCCUCUGACGAAGAUUUCUUCCCCCGCUUUGAGGCCAUGGUCUCCGGGUCUUCAGAGGCGGUCCUCUUCUUCCCCUGAGGAGAGGAAUUUUCGAUUCCUCCCUUCCGGACAACCUCCUUCGAGGAGGCUGUAGCUUCCUUGUCCCCUCCCUCGCUUUCCUUUGAAGGCACAACCUCCAACAUCCUGACUAGCAUGGGACCCGACGUGGUCUCGGGGAGGGGGGCCGGACACCUAAUUAGCUUUGCUUUCGCUAUCCACUCCUGUUUAAAGGACAACUCUUUUAGGGGCAAUUUUAUGAUAAAUAUACGGAUAGCGAGUCCGGGCACAAGGCUACUUACUUGAGUAUCCGGACGAUUGCAGCUUAGACCUGCGUCCUCCGUAGAAUCCGGACACACUACUUGUGGUCCGAAGAACAAUUUGUACAUCUCCACGGGCGUCAUGCCAAGAAAAUGUUGGAGAACUCGUGGUCCCUCCGGGUUGAACUCCCACAGGCGGAGGGGGCGACAUUUGCAGGGCAGAACUCGGUGAAUUAACAUAACCUGUGUCACCACGACCAGACUGAUGUCUCUUUCUAGGAGAUCUCGGAUGCGGCCCUGCAACAGGGGCACGUCCUUUGCCGACCCCUAGUCCAGCCCCUUAUUGACCCAUGACGCCAGUCGUGGCGGGGGACCCGAGGGAAAGCAGGCAGCGCCACCCACUUGGUGCUCCUGGAAGCCGUGAUAUAAAACCACUCUCGUUGCCAUAAGAUGGACUCCCCUUGAAAAGAGCCCUCGGGCCAUGGAGCACCAGCAUUCUUGCUUAUAAAAGCACCUCCGCACUCCGCGUGCCAUCCCUCAAUCAUCUUCGGCUCUACUUUGAAGGUCUUGAGCCAUAGUCCGAUGUGAGGAGUAAUACGGAGGAAGGCUUCACACAUGACGAUGAAUGAGGAAAUAUGGAGGAUGGACUCUGGAGCUAAGUCGUGAAAUUCCAGCCCAUAAUAAAACAUAAGACCCCUCACGAAGGGAUCCGUCGGGAAGCCUAGCCCCCGAAGGAAGUGAGACAUGAACACCAUACUCUCACCAGGCUUGGGAGUGGGAAUGACCUGCCCUUGAGCAGGCAGCCUAUGCGAGAAUUCGCCGGUCAAGAACCUGGCCUCUCUCAACUUCAGCACGUCCUCCUCCGUGAUGGAGGAGGGCAUCCAUCGGCCUCGAAGGUCGGAACCGGACAUUGUCGAAGGUCCGAAGCACCUGAAAUCUGGAGCCUUGGGUGUUGGAACUCGAGGCGAAGGGCGAACUCGUUUGAGAUUGAAAGAAAGGAGUAAGGCCUUGGUCUCUUUAUAAGAGGUUGAAUACCAAGGGCCCUCCCCUUGACCGUUUGGGACUCGCCUUUGAUCGAGAAAACAUACCAACGGGUUACUCACACUCGUAUUGAUGAGAAUCCCGGAAUAAGGGGACAUGAUCUCUGCUUUGACAAGACGUGCCAAGGAAAGCGCCUCGCUAAACGCGCUGACAUGGGACAAUAAAACGAUUCGAAUAAAGACUUUGCCGUGGUGUGAUGUCAUGCUACGGAAUACGUCAACAGAUUAGAUUUGUGUAAAUAUUAUUCUCUCUAUGGCAAUACAUGGAAACUUAUUUUGCAGAGCCGGACACUAUCUUUGUGUUCAAAAUCUUCUAUGAAGUACUUGGAGGAGGAACCCGCCUUGCAAUGCCGAAGACAAUCCGCGCGCCGGACUCAUCAUCAUUGAAGCCUGGUUGAGGGGCUACUGAGGGAGUCCUGGAUUAGGGGGUGUCCAGAUAGCCGGACUAUACCUUUGGCCGGACUCCUGGACUAUGAAGAUACAAGAUUGAAGACUUCGUCCCAUGUCCGGAAGGGACUUUUCUUGGCGUGGAAGGCAAGCUUGGUGAUACGGAUAUGUAGAUCUCCUACCAUUGUAACCGACUCUGUGUAACCCUAGCCCUCUCCGGUGUCUAUAUAAACCGGAGGGUUUUAGUCUGUAGGACGAACAACAAUCAUACCACAGGCUAGCUUCUAGGGUUUAGCCUCCUUGAUCUCGUGGUAGAUCUACUCUUGUACUACCCAUAUCAUCAAUAUUAAUCAAGCAGGACGUAGGGUUUUACCUCCAUCAAGAGGGCCCGAACCUGGGUAAAACAUUGUGUCCCCUGCCUCCUAUUACCAUCCACCUAGACACACAGUUCGGGACCCCCUACCUGAGAUCCGCCGGUUUUGACACCGACAACACAACAGGGAUUGUUGGGUGUUCAAGCAGGCCGGCAAGUUAAAUGCCGAAAACAAAGAUAAGGGGUCACAUAGCAAUGACGAGGAGGAGCCCCGGCAGCCGAACACCGGAGGAUAGAAGAGGUUGCCCCCACAAGUGCGGACGGUGAACAUGAUAUACGCAACCCACAUCCCCAAGAGGGAGCGGAAGCAUGCGCUAAGGGACGUAUAUGCGUUGGAGCCAGUCGCCCCAAAGUUCAACCCGUGGUCCUCCUGUCCGAUCACCUUCGAUCGCAGGGACCACCCCACUAGUAUCCGUCAUGGCGGAUUCGCCACACUGGUCCUAGACCCAAUCAUUGACGGAUUUCACCUCACUCGAGUCCUUAUGGAUGGCGGCAGCAGCCUGAACCUGCUUUAUCAGGACACAGUGCGCAAAAUGGGCAUAGACCCCUCAAGGAUCAAACCCACGAAAACGACCUUCAAAGGCAUCAUACCAGGUGUAGAGGCCCAUUGGACAGGCUCAGUCACACUGGAAGUGGUCUUCGGAUCCCCGGAUAACUUCCGAAGCAAGGAGUUAAUCUUUGAUAUAGCCCCGUUCCGCAGUGGCUAUGAUGCACUGCUCGGGCGAACCACAUUUGCGAGAUUCAAUGCGGUACCGCAUUAUGCAUACCUCAAGCUCAAGAUGCCAGGACCUCGGGGGGUCAUCACAGUCAAUGGAAACACAUAGCGCUCUCUCCGCACGGAGGAGCACACUGCGGCCCUCGUAGCAGAAGCACAAAGCAGCCUCUUAAGGCAAUCCGCCAGUUCGGCGAUUAAAGACCUGGACACCUUCAAGCGCGCCCAGAGUAAUCGGCAACAAGACCGCCUGGCACGUUCCGAGCUCGCAUAGCAAUGCGGCCCCCGCCCCAGUCCCAGCCAAACGGCAAAAUCCGUUCCACGCGUACAUAAUUACGCAUUGAAAAUACCAUGGGCACAGGUGGGGAGGGGGGCACGACUACGGCACGCCCCAAGACGCGGCUCAACCGCACUAGGGGCUUCCCGCUUUGUUAUUUUUCUCUCUUUUAGGACUUUAAUCUCUAGAAACCCUGUCCGGCUGUAUGAUUGCCGGACACACAAUGCAACAACCAAGGAGGCAGAAAGCUAUGUCGCACCACGAUACUCCCAGGUGGCCUCUGAUAACGAGUGAAAUACUUGGUUUAAAUACCAUUCCUCAGGUUGCCCUUGGAGGGGACAUGUCAAAUAGUCAUACUUUUUGCUUAUCGCACUACUUGUAUCAUUCUGCUUUGACGCACCUUUUUGAAUAUACAAUGCAUAGCACUAGACUAUUAUCACAUUCUCUAUUACACAAUACACAAUAUAUGUUCAUUCAUGACAUUCAGCACCCGUACACUCUGGUACGGCCAAUACGCCACGGGCUUAAGCGUACCCCAUAAUAUGGCGUGAGAAGUCUGAACACUUUUGAUAGUGCGGCACCCCGAACUUAUAGCAUUAUAUGCAUCAGCUCCGAAUUAUGUCUUGGGUCAAUAGUUGGGUUUGCCCGGCUCCCAUGUUUUGGUACCUUACGUUCCGCUAUAUCGGCUAAGGUAGCACUGGGAGAACUACUGCGAUUGUGCCCCGGUUCAUCUGGGCUAAGCACCUCAGUAGAGAAAGCUAAAACUGACUGUCAUGAUAAGGCGAGAGCUGGUCGCUGUUCGAGAGGUCUCGAGUCCCUAAAGACUUAUGCCGCUUAGAGCGAGGAGUCGGCUUUGUCCGGCUUAAGGCGUGUAUAGCGCCCCAAAUUUGGCCUUCCAAAUACUAGGGGCUUCGCCAAAAUUUAAAAUUGUAGACUUGUAUGGCUAAGUGAGAGUGAUAAACAUUAUAGUUUGAUUGCCUUGUUCGUUGUGCUGAGCACCUCCCUCGAAGGACCCAAAAAUGGGAAAAAGAGUGCUCAGGUUUAUCCUAAACACCCCAGCACUCGUGGCAUGGGGGUAAAAGCCGACGACUGUCCAUCUCUCAGAUUUGAUAAACAGCUGCACAGAAGGUAAUAUUUUAAAUUCAAACAAGCGUUGCAUAGCGCAUAUGAACAAGUUUUCAUAAUACAAGAUCACACGAGCAAGUUCAUUCAAAAUUACAUCCUUCGCACACUCGUCCGCCACAAGACAGGCACCCUUCAGGACACCCUCAUAAUACAUCUCAGGGCGGCGAUGCUCCUUGCCCUGCGGCGGGCCCUCCUUCACCAGCUUCUCGGCGUCCAUCUUGGCCCAGUGCACCUUCGCACGGGCAAAGGCCCGGCGUGCACCUUCGAUGCAGACGGACCGCUUGAUGACCUCCAGCCGUGGGCAGGCAUCCACAAGCCGCCUCACCAGGCCAAAGUAGCUGUUGGGAAGAGAGCCGACAAGCCACAUCCGGACUAUAAGGCCCCUCAUGGCCUGUUCGGCCGCCUUGUGCAGCUCGACUAGUUUCUUCAGCUAGUCGCUCAUAGGCAUCGAAUGUUCGGUCCCAGUAUACUGAGACCAGAACAACUUCUCCGUCGAGCUUCCCUCCUUGGCCUGCGAGGCAAAUCUGCGAAUGCUCCUGGAGAGCUCCGAACUCUGGUAAGUAACAAGUAAUUUACUUUCACAUGCUUGCUUUGCAUAUUGAAUGCCUUACCCGCCGCUAUCUUCCUCAUCGCCUCAAUUUCCUGGAGGGCCUUUUGGGCUUCAGCCUUGGCAUGCUUUGUGCUCUCGAGGGCCGCGGCAAGCUCGGACUCUCGUGUCUUCGAGUCAAGCUCCAAAGCCUAGCUCGUGCUUCUUCACGAGAGCCUGGAGCUCUUGUUGCACCUCGCCCACCCGUGCCUAUUGUUUUUCCCGCUCGGUGCGCUCCUUGGCCACUUUGUUUUCGGCCUCGGACAACGCUUGCUUCAGGGUCGCCACUUCGGCCGUGGCCCCUGGCACAUUCAUGAUGAUCCUGUCAUUUAGCAACCACAUUUUCUUUUUUAUAUAGACAAGGUAUUACUUACCUAUGUUCUCCUCGAGCUGCCUCUUGGCAAGGCCGAGCUCUUUCUCGGACCCCUUGGGGUCCUGCUUCAGUGUGGCGACCUCCACAGUCAGUGCGGCAGAGGUCAGCAGCGAAGCCUGCAUACGCAUACAUAGAUACUUAUAUUAGACUCCUGCCAAUAUUAUUUGAUCCUCUAUUCGGCUUUUCUUUGUGAACACCAAAAAGAGCAUCAGGUGCUACUGUCUAUGCGGUAAUAUUUUCCUAUAUUUUAAAUACUCACCUCAAAGCCUGUUAGAAGGCUGGCACAGGCUUCAGUCAGUUAGCUCUUGGUGGACUGAACCUUCUGGAUCACCGCACUCAUAAUAGUGUGGUGCUCUUCGUCGAUGGAAGCGCCGCGAAGCGCUCCCAGCAGGUCAUCCGGUGCCUCUGGAUGGAUAGAGGUCACCGGCACGGAUGGCUUGCCCCUUUUGGAAGGGAGCCGCCUGCCCGAGUCCGGAACCACUAGAGGUUUCGGCACGGUGUUCGGCUGAGGGCCGAACUUGGAGCCCCUGGGAGCCUUGCUCCCUUUGCUCCUGGAGUUUGGAAGGUCGCCUUGAGGCGCCUCCGGGACUGUCCCCCCCGGCUCGGUGCCCCUUGAGACAAUACCUCGGCAUUGUCCGUAGGGCAAGGAGAGGACGGUUGGAAGUGUAUCACUAUUCAUGUCCGACGAGUCCAAGGAACCGUCCGACGAUGAUAUGUCAAUACGGGCUUGGGGCGGACUGCAUAAUCAUAUUCGACGUUAGGAGAAGCAGUGCGACAAAGGUAUGCUAUGAGUUACUCUGGUAUCCAAAUACUUACGACUUUGCCAGGGGCUUGGCCCUGAGCAGCCACUCGUCUUCGCCAUCGGCGGUGGUGGUGGAGCAGUCCGGAAGGAGAGUCCUUCCCUUCUUGGACCCUUCGGCCUCCCCGGUUGGGGCGGCCUUCCUUUUCUUGUCUCCCCCGGCUGGAGGUGGAGAAUCUUCAUCUUCCUUCUCUUCGUUUUCACGGAGGAGUGCGUCUUGGUGUUAUCAGACGAUGAGUCUAAUACCACCUGGUGCCGGGAACUCUUUCAGGUUCCCUUGGCUUUCUUCUUGGUCUUCUCCGGCACCUCAUAAGGAGCCGGAGUCCGCAUCUCCGUCAGGAGAGCGUCCGCAGGGUCUUCGGGCAGAGGGGCCGGACAGUUAAUCCGCUCCGAUGUCUCCACCCAGUCCUGUCAAAGGCAUGUGAGCUCAGAUCUCGCACAUGGUUAAGCUAUGGGAAAUAAAUAUCCUACCAGAUGUACAGAACUUACCGAAUUCGUAGGGCACUUCGCGCUUAGCCCGCGGUCCUCAGUAAGAGAAGGAGGGACCUCGGCGCCCUUGAACAACACCCUCCAGACGUCCUUAUGCAUCGUGUCGAAGAGCUCAUGCAGAGUCUGGUGCUGGGCCGGGUCGAACUCCCAUAAGUUGAAAUCCCGUUGUUGACAUGGGAGGAUCCGGCGGAAGAGCAUGACCUGGACUAUGUUGACAAGCUUAAGUUUCUUGCUUAUCAUGUUCCGGAUACACUUCUGGAGUCCGUCCAGCUCCACCGAUGAACCCCAGGACAGGCCCUUCUCCUUCCAGGAAGUGAGCCACGUGGGGAUUCCGGAUCGAAACUCGGGGGCCGCCACCCAGUUGGUGUCGCACGGCUUGGUGAUGUAGAACCACCCCGAUUGCCACCCCUUUAUGGUCUCCACAAAGGAGCCCUCGAGCCAUAUAGCGUUGGGAAUUUUGCCCACCAUGGCUGCGCCACAUUCUGCUUGUUGGCCGCCCACCACCUUCGGCUUGAUAUUGAAGGUCUUCAGUCACAGGCCGAAGUGGGGCCGGAUGCGAAGGAAAGCCUCGCACACGACGAUGAACGCCGAGAUGUUGAGGAUGAAAUUUGGGGCCAAAUCAUGAAAGUCCAGCCCAUAAUAGAACAUGAGGCCGCGGACGAAUGGAUGGAGGGGAAACCCCAGUCUGCGGACGAAGUGGGGGAGGAAAACCACCCUUUCGUGAGGUUCCGGGGUAGGGACGACCUGCCCCGCAGCUGGCAGCCGGUGCGCGAUAUCCGCGGCUAAGUAUCCGGCUCCACGUAGAUUUUUGAUGUGUCCCUCCAUGACAGAGGAGGCCAUCCACUUUCCUCCCGCUCCGGACAUGUUUGUAGAGAGUUGAGGAGAAGGAUGUGGACUUGGGCGUUGGAGCUCGAGUGCACGAGAAUGGAUGAGCAAGGAGGAAGAAGGCGUGGGUAGAAAAAGGUGAGACCUUAUCCCUUUAUAAGGGCAGACAAAACUAUGCACCCCCACUAGCCUGGUAAAACUAGCUUAUCCCCCAAGCGCCAUAAUUGGUGGCGCGGUUGGGUUACCCACGCCCGUAUUGAUGGGAAUCCCGUAAUAAGGGGACACGAUCUCUGCUUCGACAAGACGUGCCAAGGAAACCGCCUCGCGAAACACGCUGAGAUAGGUUAUGAAAAAUGAUUCGAAUAAAGACCUGGCUGUGGUGUGAUAUCACGCUACGGGGUACGUCAGCAGAUUAGAUUUGUGGAAAUAUUAUUCUCUCUACGGUGGUAUGUGGAACUUGUUUUGCAGAGCCGGACACGAUCCUCGUGUUCAAAAUCUUCUAUGAAGUAUUCAGAGGAGGAACCCGCCUUGCAAUGCCGAAGACAAUCUGUGCGCCAGACUCAUCGUCAUUGAAGCCUGGUUUAGGGGAUACUGAGGGAGUCCUGGAUUAGGGGGUAUCCGGACAGCCAGACUAUAUCCUUUGGCCGGACUGUUGUACUAUGAAGAUACAAGAUUGAAGACUUCGUCCCGUGUUCGUAUAGGACUCUCCUUGGCGUGGAAGGCAAGCUUGGCAAUACGGAUAUAUAGAUCUCCUUCCUUGUAACCGACUCUGUGUAACCCUAGCCCCCUCCGGUGUCUAUAUAAACCGGAGGGUUUUAGUCCGUAGGACAACAGACAAUCAUACCAUAGGCUAGCUUCUAGGGUUUAGCCUCUCCGAUCUCGUGGUAGAUCAACUCUUGUACUACUCAUAUUAUCAAGAUUAAUCAAGCAGGACGUAGGGUUUUACCUCCAUCAAGAGGGCCCAAACCUGGGUAAAACAUCGUGUCCCCUGCCUCCUGUUACCAUCCGCCUUAGACGCAUAGUUCGGGACCCCCUACCUGAGAUCCGCCGGUUUUGACACCGACAAACAUCUUUUUGCAAGAGAUUAGUGAGAGGCUUAGAAAUUUUAGAGAAGUAUUUAAUAAACCUCCUAUAGAAACCAGCAUGACCAAGGAAACUUCUUAUACCUUUGAUAUCUUUAGGACACAACAUCUUUUCAGUAGCAUCCACUUUAGCUUUAUGAACUUCAAUACCUCUUUCAGAAAUUUUAUGCCCCAAGACAAUACCUUCAUUAACCAUAAAGUGGCACUUCUCCCAAUUCAAUACAAGAUUAGUUUCUUCACAUCUCUGCAAAACUCGGUCAAGGUUGCUUAAGCAAUCAUCAAAAGAAGAUCCGUAAACGGAGAAAUCAUCCAUGGAAACCUCAACAAUCUUUUCACAAAAAAUCAAAGAAUAUAGCAGUCAUGCAUCUUUGAAAGGUAGCAGGUGCAUUGCAUAAACCAAAAGGCGUACGUCUAUAAGCAAAGGUACCGAAAGGGCAAGUAAAAGUGGUUUUCUCUUGAUCCUAUUUUGACACAGGUAUUUGAGAGAAACUAGAAUAACCAUCUAGAAAGCAAAAAUGUGUAUGUUUGGAUAAUCUUUCUAGCAUUUGAUCAAUAAAAGAUAGAGGGUAAUGAUCUUUUCUAGUAGCUUUAUUUAAUUUGCGAAAAUCAGUUACCAUUAUGAAGGAAAUAUGCCCUAGAGGCAAUACUAAAGUUGUUAUUUAUAUUUCCUUAUAUCAUGAUAAAUGUUUAUUAUUCAUGCUAGAAUUGUAUUAACCGGAAACUUGAUACAUGUUUGGAUACAUACACAAAACAAAGUGUCCCUAGUAGCCUCUACUUGACUAGCUCGUUAAUCAAAGAUGGUUAACUUUCCUGACUAUAGACAUGUGUUGUCAUUUGAUGAACGGGUUCACAUCAUUAGAGAAUGAUGUGAUGGACAAGACCCAUCUGUUAGCUUAGCAUUAUGAUCAUUUAGUUUUAUUGCUAUUGCUUUCUUCAUGACUUAUACAUAUUACUCUGACUAUGAGAUUAUGCAACUCCCGAAUACCGGAGGAACACCUUGUGUGCUAUCAAACGUCACAACACAAUUGGGUGAUUAUAAAGAUGCUCUACACUUGUCUCCAAUGGUGUUUGUUGAGUUGGCAUAGAUCGAUAUUAGAUUUGUCACUCUGUGUAUCGGAGAGGUAUCUCUAGGCCCUCUCGGUAAUGCACAUCACUAUAAGCCUUGCAAGCAAUGUGACUAAUGAGUUAGUUACGGGAUGAUGCAUUACGAAACGAGUAAAGAGACUUUCCGGUAAUGAGAUUGAACUAGGUAUGAUGAUACCGACGAUCGAAUCUCGGGCAAGUAACAUACCGAUGAAAAAGGGAACAACGUAUGUUGUUAUGCGGUUUGACCGAUAAAGAUCUUCGUAGAAUAUGUAGGAACCAAUAUGAGCAUCCAGGUUACGCUAUUGGUUAUUGACCGGAGAUGUGUCUCGGUCAUGUCUACAUUGUUCUCGAACCCAUAGGGUCAGCACACUUAACGUUCGAUGACGUUUUAUAUUAUGAGUUAUGUUAUUUGAUGACCGAAGCUUGUUCGGAGUCCCUGAUGAGAUCACGGACAUGACGAGGAGUCUCGAAAUGGUCGAGAGGUAAAGAUACAUAUAUUAGAAGGUUACAUUUGGACACCAGAAUGGUUCGGGUGGUUUCACAUGAGUUUCGGAGUACCGGGGGUUACUGGAACCCCCCAGAAGUUCAUGGGCCUUCAUGGGACUUAGUGGAAAGGAGAGGAGGGCCACAAGGGAGGCUGCCCCCCAUGGCCAGUCUGAAUUGGACUAGGGAGGGGGCGGCGCCCCCUCUUUCCUUCUCCCUUCUUCCUCCUUCCCUCUCUCUCCCUCUCUUGGAAAGGAAGGGGACCCCAACUAGGAUUGGGAAUGCUAGUUGGACUCCCCUAUGGUGCGUGCCCCCUUAUGGCUGACCUCCUCUCCUCCCCCCUUUAUAUACGUGGGAGGGGGGGUACCCCAAAGGCAGACCAAGUCUUCUCUUAGCCGUCUGCGGUGCCCGCCUCCACAGUUACACACCUCGGUCAUAGCGUCAUAGUGCUUAGGCGAAGCCCUGCGCCAGCAACAUCAUCAUCAUCGUCGCCAUGCCGUCGUGCUGACGGAACUCUCCCUCGUCCUCAACUAGAUCAAGAGCUCGAGGGACGUCGUCGUGCUGAACGUGUGCUGAACACGGCGUUCGAUACUUGGAUCAGUUGGAUCGUGAAGUCCUUCAACUACAUCAAUUGCGUUACUAAACGCUUCCGGUUUCAGUCUACGUGGUACAUGGACACACUCUCCCUGCUCGUUGCUAUGCAUCUCCUAGAUAGAUGUUGCAUGAUCGUAUGAAUUUUUUUGAAAUACUGUGUUCCCUAACAGUGGCAUCAGAGCCAGGUCUAUGCGUAGAUGUUAUAUGCACGAGUAGAACACAAUGAGUUGUGGGCGAUAAUAGUCAUACUGCUUACCAACAACGUCUUACUUUGAUUCAACGGUAUUGUUGGAUGAAGCGGCCCAGACCGACAUUACAUGACCGUGUUCAUUUGACUGGUUCUACCGACGUGCUUUGCACACAGGUGGCUGGCGGGUGUCUGUUUCUCCAACUUUAGUUGAAUCGAGAUUGACUACACCCGAUCCUUGUUGAAGGUUAAAACAACACACUUGAUGAAAAAUCGUUGUGGUUUUGAUGCGUAGGUAAGAAUGGUUCUUGCUAGAAGCCCGUAGCAGCCACGUAAAACUUGCAACAACAAAGUAGAGGCCGUCUAACUUAUUUUUGCAGGGCAUGUUGUGAUGUGAUAUGGUCAAGACGUGAUGAGAUAUAAAUUGUUGUAUGAGAUGAUCAUGUUUUGUAAAAGUUAUCGGCAACUGACAAGAGCCUUAUGGUUGUCGCUUUAUUGUAUGAAAUGCAAUCGCCAUGUAAUUGCUUUACUUUAUCACUAAGUGGUAGCGAUAGUCGUAGAAGCAAUAGUUAGCGAGACGACAACGAUGCUACAAUGGAGAUCAAGGUGUCAAGCCGGUGACGAUGGUGAUUAUGACAGUGCUUUGGAGAUGGAUAUCAAAGGCACAAGAUGACGAUGGCCAUAUCAUAUCACUUAUUUUGAUUGCAUUGUGAUGUUUAUCCUUUAUGCAUCUUGUUUUGCUUAGUACGGCGGUAGCAUUAUAAGAUGAUCUCUCACUAAAUUUCAAGGUACAAGUGUUCUCCCUUGAGUAUGCACCAUUGCUACAGUUCGUCGUGCCAAGACACCAUGUGAUGAUCGGGUGUGAUAAGCUCUACAUUCACAUACAAUGGGUGCAAGCUAGUUCCGCACGUGCAGAAUACUCGGGUUAAACUUGAUGAGCCUAGCAUAUGCAGAUAUGGCCUUGGAACACUGAGACCGAAACGUCGAACUUGAAUCAUAUAGUAGAUAUGAUCAACAUAGUGAUGUUCACCAUUGAAAACUACUCCAUCUCAUGUGAUGAUCGGACAUGGUUUAGUUGAUAUGGAUCACGUGAUCAUUUAGAUGACUAGAGGGAUGUCUAUCUAAGUGGGUGUUCUUAAGUAAUAUGAUUAAAUUGAACUUUAAUUUAUCAUAAACUUAGUACCUGAUAGUAUUUUGCAUGUCUAUGUUGUUAUAGAUCAAUGGCCCGUGCUACCGUUCCCUUGAAUUUUAAUGCGUUCCUAGAGAAAGCUAAGUAGAAAGAUGAUGGUAGCAACUACACAGACUGGGUCCGUAACUUGAGGAUUAUCCUCAUUUCUGCAUAGAAGAAUUACGUCCUGGAAGCACCGCUAGGUGCAAAACCCGCUGCAGGAGCAACUCCAAAUGUUAUGAAUGUCUGGCAGAGCAAAUCUGAUGACUAAUCAAUAGUUUAGUGUGCCAUGUUGUAUGGCUUAGAAUCGGGACUUCAACAACGUUUUGAACGUCAUGGAGCAUAUGAGAUGUUCCAGGAGUUGAAGUUAAUAUUUCAAGCAAAUGCCUGAAUUGAGAGAUAUGAAGUCUCCAAUAAGUUCUAUAGCUGCAAGAUGGAGGAGAAUAGUUUUGUCAGUGAACAUAUACUCAGAAUGUCUGGGUACCACAACCACUUGACUCAACUAGGAGUUAAUCUUCCUGAUGAUAGUGUCAUUGACAGAGUUCUUCAAUCACUACCACCAAUCUACAAAAGCUUCAUGAUGAACUACAAUAUGCAAGGGAUGGAUAAGACAAUUCCUGAGCUCUUCGCAAUGCUAAAGGCUGUGGAGGUAGAAAUCAGGAAGGAGCAUCAAGUGUUGAUGGUUAACAAGACCACCAGUUUCAAGAAAAAAGGCAAAGGGAAGAACAAAAACUUCGAGAAGAACGGCAAGCAAGUUGCUGCUCAAGUGAGAAGCCCAAGUCUGGACCUAAGCCUGAGACUGAGUGCUUCUACUGCAGAGGGACUGGUCACUAGAAGCGGAACUGCCCCAAGUAUUUGGCGGAUAAGAAGGAUGAAAGGUAUAUUUGAUAUACAUGUUAUUGAUGUGUACCUUACUAAUGCUCGUAGUACCGCCUGUGUAUUUGAUACUGGUUUUGUUGCACAUAUUUGUAACUCAAAACAGGGGCUACGGAUUAAACGAAGAUUGGCUAAGGACGAGGUGGCGAUGCGCGUGGGAAAUGGUUCCAAAGUUGAUGUGAUCGUCGUCGGCAUGCUACCUCUACAUCAACCGUCGGGAUUAGUUUUAGACCUACAUAAUUGCUAUUUUGUGCCAGCGUUGAGCAUGAACAUUAUAUCUGGAUCUUGUUUGAUGCGAGAUGGUUAUUCAUUUAAAUCAGAGAAUAAUGGUUGUUCUAUUUAUAUGAGUAAUAUCUUUUAUGGUCAUGCACCCUUGAUGAGUGGUCUAUUUUUGUUGAAUCUCGAUAGUACUAAUACACACAUUCAUAAUAUUGAAGCCAAAAGAUAUAAGUUUAAUAAUGAUAGUGCAACUUAUUUGUGGCACUGCCAUUUAGGUCAUAUUGGUGUAAAGCGCAUGAAGAAACUCCAUGCUGAUGGGCUUUUGGAAUCACUUGAUUAUGAAUCACUUGAUGCUUGCGAACCAUGCCUCAUGGGAAAGAUGUCAAAAACUCCGUUCUCCGGAACAAUGGAGCGAGCAACUGACUUAUUGGAAAUAAUACAUACUGAUGUAUGCAGUCCGAUGAGUGUUGCGGCUCGCGGCGGGUAUCAUUAUUUUCUAACCUUCGCAGAUAAUUUCAGCAGAUAUGGGUAUAUCUACUGGAUGAAACAUAAGUCUGAAACAUUUGAAAAGUUCAAAGAAUUUCAGAGUGAAGUAGAAAAUCAUCGUAACAAGAAAAUAAAGUUUCUACGAUCUGAUCAUGGAGGUGAAUAUUUGAGUUAUGAGUUUGUUCUUCAUUUGAAACAAUAUGGAAUAGUUUCGCAACUCACGCCACCUAGAACACCACAGCAUAAUGGUGUGUUCGAACAUCGUGACCACACUUUAUUAGAUAUGGUGUGAUCUAUGAUGUUUCUUACUGUUUAUCGCUAUUAUUUUGGGGUUAUGCUUUAGAUACGGUUGCUUUCACAUUAAAUAGGGCACCAUCUAAAUCCGUUGAGACGACACCAUAUGAACUGUGGUUUGGCAAGAAACCAAGUUGUCGUUUCUUAAAGUUUGGGGCUGCGAUGCUUAUGUGAAAAAGCUUCAACCUGAUAAGCCCGAACCCAAAUCGGAGAAAUGUGUCUUCAUAGGAUACCCAAAGGAGACAGAUGGGUACACCUUCUAUCACAGAUCCAAAGGCAAGAUAUUUGUUGCUAAGAAUGGAUCCUUUAUAGAGAAGGAGUUUCUCUCGAAAUAAGUGAGUGGGAGGAAAGUAGAACUUGAUGAGGUAAUUGUACCUUCUCCCUUAUUGGAAAGUAGUUCAUCACAGAAAUCAGUUCCAGUGAUUCCUACACAAAUCAGUGAGGAAGCUAAUGAUGAUGAUCAUGAAACUUCUGAUAAAGUUACCACUGAACCUCGUAGGUCAACCAGAGUAAGGUCCAGACCAGAGUGGUACGGUAAUCCUAUUCUGGAGGUUAUGUUACUUGACCAUGACAAACCUAUGAACUAUGAGGAAGCGAUGAUGAGCCCAAAUUCUGCGAAAUGGCUUGAGGCCAUGAAAUCUGAGAUGGGAUCCAUGAGAACAAAGUAUGGACUUUGGUUGACUUGCCCGAUGAUCGGCAAGCCAUAGAGAAUAAAUGGAUCUUCAAGAAGAAAACUAACACUAAUGGUAAUGUUACUGUCUAUAAAGCUCGAGUUGUUCCGAAAGGUUCUUUUUAACAAGUUCAAGGAGUUCACUACGAUGAUACCUACUCACUCAUAGCGAUGCUUAAGUCAGUCCGAAUCAUGUUAGCAAUUUCCGCAUUUUAUGAUUAUGAAAUUUGGCAAAUGGAAGUCAAAACUUCAUUCCUUAAUGGAUAUCUUAAAGAAGAGUUGUAUAUGAUGCAACCAGAAGGUUUUGUCGAUCAAAAGGUGCUAACAAAGUGUGCAAGCUCCAGCAAUCCAUUUAUGGACUAGUGCAAGCAUCUCGGAGUUGGUAUAUACACUUUGAUAGUGUGAUCAAAGUAUAUGGUUUUAUAUAGACUUUUGGAGAAGCCUGUAUUUACAAGAAAGUGAGUGGGAGCUUUGUAGCAUUUCUAAUAUUAUAUGUGGAUGCCAUAUUGUUGAUUGGAAAUAAUAUAGAAUUUCUGGAUAGCAUAAAAGGAUACUUGAAUAAGAAUUUUUCAAUGAAAGACCUCGGUGAAGCUGCUUACAUAUUGGGCAUGAAGAUCUAUAGAGAUAGAUCAAGACGCUUAAUUGGACUUUCACAAAGCACAUACCUUGAUAAAGUUCUAAAGAAGUUCAAAAUGGAUCAGUCAAAGAAAGGAUUCUUGCACGUGUUACAUGGUGUGAAGUUGAGCCAGACUCAAUGCCCGACCACUGCAGAAGAUCGAGAGAAAAUGAAAGUCAUUCCCUAUGCCUCAGCCAUAGGUUCUAUCGUGUAUGCAAUGUUGUGUACCAGACCUGAUGUGUGCCUUGCUAUAAGUUUAGCGGGGAGGUAACAAAGUAAUCCAGGAGUGGAUCACUGGACAAUGGUCAAGAACAUCCUGAAAUACCUGAAAAUGACUAAGGAUAUAUUUCUCGUUUAUGGAGGUGACAAAGAGCUCGUCGUGAAUGGUUACGUCGAUGCAAACUUUGACACUGAUCCGGAUGACUCUAAGUCACAAAUCGGAUAUGUAUUUAUAUCGAAUGGUGGAGCUGUCAGUUGGUGCAAUUUCAAGCAGAGCAUCGUGGCGGGAUCUACGUGUGAAGCGGAGUACAUAGCUGCUUCGGAAGCAGCAAAUGAAGGAGUCUGGAUGAAGGAGUUCAUAUCCGAUCUAGGUGUAAUACCUAGUGCAUCGGGUCCAAUGAAAAUCUUUUGUGACAAUACUGGUGCAAUUGCCUUGGCAAAGGAAUCCAGAUUUCACAAGAGAACCAAGCACAUCAAGAGACACUUCAAUUCCAUCUGUGAUCAAGUCAAGGAGGGAGACAUAGAGAUUUGCAAGAUACAUACGGAUCUAAAUGUUGCAGACCCAUUGACUAAGCCUCUCUCAUGAGCAAAACAUGAUCAACACCAAGACUCCAUGGGUAUUCGAAUCAUUACUAUGUAAUCUAGAUUAUUGACUCUAGUGCAAGUGGGAGACUGAAGGAAAUAUGCCCUAGAGGCAAUAAUAAAGUUGUUAUUUAUAUUUCCUUAUAUCAUGAUAAAUGUUUAUUAUUCAUGCUAGAAUUGUAUUAACCGGAAACUUGAUACAUGUGUGGAUACAUAGACAAAACAAAGUGUCCCUAGUACGCCUCUACUUGACUAGCUUGUUAAUCAAAGAUGGCUAAGUUUCUUGACCAUAGACAUGUGUUGUCAUUUGAUGAACGGGAUCACAUCAUUAGGAGAAUGAUGUGAUGGACAAGACCCAUCCGUUAGCUUAGCAUAAUGAUCGUUUAGUUUUAUUUGAUAUUGCUUUCUUCAUGACUUAUACAUGUUCCUCAAACUAUGAGAUUAUGCAACUCCCGAAUACCGGACGAACAUCUUGUGUGCUAUAAAACUUCACAACGCAACUGGGUGAUUAUAAAGAUGCUCUACACUUGUCUCCAAUGGUGUUUGUUGAGUUGGCAUAGAUCAAGAUUAGGAUUUGUCACUCCGAGUAUCGGAGAGGUAUCUUUGGGCCCUCUUGGUAAUGCACAUCACUAUAAGCCUUGCAAGCAAUGUGACUAAUGAGUUAGUUAUGGGAUGAUGCAUUAUGGAACGAGUAAAGAGACUUGCCGGUAACGAGAUUGAACUAGGUAUGAUGAUACCGACAAUCGAAUCUCGGGCAAGUAACAUACCAAUGACAAAGGGAACAACGUAUGUUGUUAUGCGGUUUGACCAAUAAAGAUCUUCAUAGAAUAUGUAGGAACCAAUAUGAGCAUCCGGGUUCCGCUAUUGGUUAUUGACCGGAGAUGUGUCUCGGUCAUGUCUACAUAGUUCUCGAAGCCGUAGGGUCCGCACGCUCAACGUUCGAUGACGAUUUGUAUUAUGAGUUAUGUGAUUUGAUGACCGAAGUUUGUUCGGAGUCCUAGAUGAGAUCACGGACAUGACCAGGAGUAUCGAAAUGGUCGAGAGGUAAAGAUUCAUAUAUUGGAAGGUUACAUUUGGACACCGGAAUGGUUCGGGUUGUUUCAGAUGAGUUUCGGAGUACCGGGGGUUACCNNNNNNNNNNNNNNNNNNNNNNNNNNNNNNNNNNNNNNNNNNNNNNNNNNNNNNNNNNNNNNNNNNNNNNNNNNNNNNNNNNNNNNNNNNNNNNNNNNNNNNNNNNNNNNNNNNNNNNNNNNNNNNNNNNNNNNNNNNNNNNNNNNNNNNNNNNNNNNNNNNNNNNNNNNNNNNNNNNNNNNNNNNNNNNNNNNNNNNNNNNNNNNNNNNNNNNNNNNNNNNNNNNNNNNNNNNNNNNNNNNNNNNNNNNNNNNNNNNNNNNNNNNNNNNNNNNNNNNNNNNNNNNNNNNNNNNNNNNNNNNNNNNNNNNNNNNNNNNNNNNNNNNNNNNNNNNNNNNNNNNNNNNNNNNNNNNNCCUUCAUGGGCCUUAGUGGAAAGGAGAGGAGGGCCACAAGGGAGGCUGCGCACCCCCAUGGCCAGUCCGAAAUGGACUAGGGAGGGGGAAGCACCCCCUCUUUCCUUCUCCCUUCUUCCUCCUUCCCUCUCUCUCCCUAUCUUGGAAAGGAAGGGGACUCCAACUAGGAUUGGGAAUCCUAGUUGGACUCUCCUAUGGCGCGUGCCCUCCUAUGGACGGCCUCCUCUCCUCCCCCUUUAUAUACGUGGGAGGGGGCACCCCAAAGGCAGACCAAGUCUUCUCUUAGCCAUGCGUGGUGCCCCCUUCACAGUUACACACCUCGGUCAUAUCAUUGUAGUGCUUAGGCGAAGCCCUGUGCCGGUAACAUCUUCGUCACUGUCACCACGCCGUCGUGCUGACGGAACCUUCCCUCGCCCUCAACUGGAUCAAGAGCUCAAGGGACGUCAUCAUGCUGAACGUGUGCUGAACACGGAGGUGCCGUACGUUCGGUACUUGGAUCGUGAAGACGUUAGACUACAUCAACCGCAUUACUAAACGCUUCCGCUUUCGGUCUACGAGGGUACGUGGACACACUUUCCCUUCUCAUUGCUAUGCAUCUCCCCAACACAUUCUAUAACUUGUAACAAUUCUUUGUGGGAUCAAUUCAUUCUUAUCAUUUGGAACAACAGUAAUACCUCCCUUCUUAGGGACAGAAUGAACAUGACUUACCCAUUGACUAUCAGCAAUAGGAUAAAUUAUACCUGCCUCCAGAAGCUUUAGUAUUUCGUUUCUUACCAAUUUAAUUUUGUGCUGACAUAGAGUUGGACUAAUGCCCUUAAGAUUAUCGAGAGUAUAUCCAAUAGCGGUAUGGUGCUUCUUCCGAGUUUUCAAUAAUUUCAUUUCUUCAUGCUAUGAAAGGUUAGUACUAAUAAUUACAGGAUAUAUCUUCUUUUCAUCAAGAUAAGCAUAUUUCAGAGUAUCAGGUAGUUGUUUAAGCUCAAACACGGGAUCACCCAUAGGUGGAGGAGGAUCCCCAAGGAUUCAAAUAGGCAAAUUGUGUUUCAAAAUAGGCCCUUGAUUAAAGAAUACUCCUUGAUGCUCCUUCUUGAUUUCUACCUCUGCAACCUUUAGCAUUGCGGAGACCUCGGGAAUUGUCUUAUCAAUCCCUUGCGUAUAUAGUUCAUCAUGAAGCUCUUGUAGCUUGGAGGCAGUGAUUGAAGAACUCUGUCAAUGACACUAUCGUCAGGAAGAUUAACUCCCAGCUGAGUCAAGUGGUUGUGGUACCCAGACAUUCUGAGUAUAUGUUCACUAACAGAACUAUUCUCCUCCAUUUUGCAGCUAUAGAACUUAUUGGAGACUUCAUAUCUCUCAAUCCGUGUCAGGACCCCGAUCCAAAGUCACAUCGAUAUGGCAUGUAACACAUCAUAUCACUUUGCGGCCUCACGCACAGUAUUCCCACGGGUGCCACCUUACCUAGCGCGGGACCGUUUGCGCAUUUUGGCUCACGUAUAUGAUAGUGUCGCUAGCAUCCAUAUGAGAAAGAACCCGGGCCGACAUGACUAGUCGUAAACCCAAUGUGGCACUAACUUAGAAGGACAAGCAUACAUGACCCAACAACGAACGUGUCGGUCAUCAACGAGUGAAUCCGGGCUGUAGCAGCUGGGCUAACAGGACUCCGAAGAAUCUGGGCUGUAGCAGGCUAACAGGACUCUGGUAGACAUCAUGUGACAUUUCCCCGAAGGGACAGACACAUGAACGCAGAAGGAUACAUGCCGGCCAGCCUAAGUGUUCCGGAGCAGUAGCAAGCUACCAUGGCUCAGUGGAAGCACCAGGAGACAUUUCCCGGUAAGACACGACGGCCAGACCAUUUGGUCAUCGGGGUCAUGUCGACGAUGAGCGUAGGCGGCGGCGCGUAUGGGUGCGAGUGCCGUGGCGGCUACGACGUGCGAGAGGGAAAACGGAGGGAGGGAGAAGAUUCAGUGGCUCACGGCGGUUGCGACAGUCGUCGAAGUGGGCUCAGAGGAGGUCGGAGCUGAGCAGGGUGGCGAGGUCGAUCUCGAUGAGCUAGGGAGGAAGAAGAGGUCGGCGGCGUUGCUUCGGGGCUUCCUGCGAUGCAUGGUUCAUCGAGGAAGUCGAGGAUGUCGAGGCGGAUCCUUUGGGCACGGCGGUGAGGAGAAGCGGUGGCAGUGGCCGUGGUAGCAACAAGCGGUGGCGUCGAGCGCGCUCGGGUGCGCUGCAGGGAGGGAGCAGAGGAGGGGAGAGGAGGAGUGGAUAGGCCAUAGGGGUCAGGGUGGCGCCGAGGAGAAGCAACGCGGCGUCGAGCUGGCAAGAGAGGCAGGCAUGCGAGCUGGUGGCGUGGCGCUCUGCCUGUGCACGCGCGUCAGCCACACACCUGGCCGACUGGCGCCAGGAGGACGACGACGGUGGUGGGCUGGGCCGACCAGUGGGCCGCCAGGUAAGCCAAGUGGGUUUCCUCUCUUUUCGAAUUUUGUUUCUGUUUUUCUAUUCUUUUCUCUCUUUUGAUUUAGUAAUAAAAUACCAAACCAUUUUGUAAAAUGCUAAAAAUAUUUGCGGGCACUUUUGAAAUUAUUUCCAAUAGCCCUCAACUAGUUUCACCAUUAGUAAAACAUUUAAACUAUUUAUAGAAUUUAAAUGCCCCAAUUCAAAUACAAUAUGGAUUAAUUCAAAAAUCCAGAAUGUCCUAGAAAUAUGUGCACCAUUUUUGGAAGAGGUUUUUAGCCAAUUCAAAAAUGAUGAACUUUUUUGCAGGGCAUUUUGGGUUCAUUGAAAAUAUUUUUAUUUGAACCUAGUUGAGUUCAUUUGGUGCUAGGGUUUGAACAUCCCAAUUCAAAUUCUUUUGAAUUUAAACAUGAUGCAUGGAUGCUCACAGAUGCAACUAAUUACAAGCAAUUCUAGGGUUGUGACAACUCACCCCCACUAAACAAGAAUCUCGUCCCGAGAUUGAAGCGCGGGGUAAAAAGGAAGAGGGGACUCGAACUAUCACAAUCAUCAUGAUCCAACUGUCCUCAUCGAAGAUAUUUAUUCAUUGCAUCAUCUUGAACUUGACAUCCUUGCUUCCGAGAUCUUCACCCAACAUGAGGACAGAAGAGCGAGAUAACUCUACACAUGGAAGAUAUUGAUUCAUUGCAUCAUCUUGAACUUGACAUCCUUGCUUCCGAGAUCUUCACCCAACAUGAGGGCAGAAGACCGAGAUAAAUCUUAAUGAUCAUAGGAUCAACUCACGGAAUGAGAUGUAGAAACAUCUCUUGAGCUGAGGGACAAAACACAUAUGAGGAGUAAUGGAAAGAAGCAGGUGACGAAGGUUCAGAUUAGUAGGCAACAAUUCCAUGCUUAGAAGAUGGUGCAUGGUUGCAAAGUAGCGAGGAAUAAUUGCCAUGAUUCCAUAACGGGGCACCUUAGGGAAGGUGACUCGUAGAAUCAUUCUCUUAAGUGGCAAAGAGAAUUACUUUUGAUAUCUAGAUCAUAGAAACUCUCUAUACCAGUCUAGGGAAAAUCACAAAUGUUUGUUUGACGGAGUUCAAAAGAAUGGCAUACUCAGACUAGAAUGGAUGAUGUGGACUACCUAGUUGAAGACAACGUAGUGGAUGAUUUUUUUCCUAUCAUCGGAAAUGGAUGAGACCCAUGGUAGGACCACUUUUGAAGAUGAUCCAGAAUAAGAAUUACUAAGAAGGCAGACCAUAGUAAAAUGGCACAAAGACAGGUGCAAGCUAGGAACAAAAUGCAAAUGUUGGGAAUGUUCCAACCAUCAUAUAUGCCUGAGAUUCAGAUCUGGUUGGUAACGGGAUAUUUCAGACAUCAUUUCUAGAAAAUAAAGUUUGCAACACAAACCGACGAGAUGACGUUGCGAAAUUCUCGGGAAAUGAACUACGAUAGCAAGAUCCAAAACAUGAGCUGGUUCUGCUACAUACCUGUGAACACGAGGUCUAAGACAAGCAUGACCAUGUAGUAGUCUUACAACAAAACACUAACUUGGGAUAUUGGAAUCUUCAUCGAGGAUAUUGGAAUCUUGUGCAUGAACUAGUAUUCGCACAUCAACUCCUUUUCCUCGAACAAAUCAAUCAGUGGCUUGGUGUGCUAGGAACACAUAUGGAGUGGAGGAGGCCAACCUAUCAAACCAUAGAGCACUUUGCACAUGCAUGACUAACUUGGGAUGAUUCCAGAGGAGGCAAAACUAAACUUUCUCAGGUUCACGGUGGCAACUUGCAUCAAAUGCACAUGAAUUAGAGGAAGUCACUUCUUUCAUCCAAACAUAUGCUUCAUGAGCUAGCAUGAAGAAAUGCUUCCAAAAGUUUCCAACACUAGCUUAGUGUUCAACAUGAAUCAUGGAGGGAAUAAAGACGUUGUCGAUGGGCUCGACAACAAUUUAUCAAGAUUUCCAUAAGAUGGGGUUACAUGGUUAUGUGAACAAGAUGAUAGCAUUGGUCAGACCAAAAGAUGUAAUGAUGUAUGCUCGAGGGAUCAACCACGAGUAAGACAACAUUACGAACAUCGUUGGUACUGAUAUGAUUUGGUGAUAGUCCAUACUCAAAUCAAAGUUUUGAUAAGACAAUAGGUCCAACAACUGAUCACAGGGACCAAUCGAUGAAGAUAUCAUCUUUCUUCAACUAACACACAAACACAAGGAUAUGCCCUUGGAACGAACUAAGUUGGGCAAGCUUUUAUCUUCCAACUCUCCAAGUUGUUGUUUAGCUUAACCAACUAGCUCAGGGGUAUCCAACACAGAUUCUUGAAGGAAGGGGUGGCUACAAGAAACCAACUUGAUCACGAACUCAACAUAGUGGUCAGGUGACAACCUGGUAACACUUCUGUUGGGGAUAUUACUAUCAGUAUGACCCGACCAGGAGGGGCCGGGUCAGCUCCAAUGGCGGGUUACAUAAGAAGCCCAGUGAACAUCCAAGAUGAUAGUUUACUAAAUCUUAUAGAAGGCCCAAAGGCCUGGGGGGUGGGGGGGGGGUGGGCUUAAGGCCAAGUAUUGUAAACCGCCAUAUGUAAGGAAAGACUUGUAAAGAAAGGCAUGUAAAGGAAGUCACCGAGCCGGACACGAUUAUGAGCCGGUCGGGACUCUAUAGGCCACCAGGCUUCAACCCAUGUAUAUAAGGGGACGACCCGUUGGUGGCUUAGAAAAAGAAAGAACAAGUCGAGAACCAAGCCAGCGAGUUGAGCCUGUUGGUGAUCGAACCCCCAGCAAUACCAAUCACAACUAGACGUAGGCUUUAACCUUCAUCGUAAGGGGCGGAACUAGUAUAAAACCCUCUCGUGUCCUUUGUCCCGAUUAACCCCUUUAAGCUUCCUAGUGCGAUGGCCCUACGACUAAGUCCUUGCUCUAGGACAUCUGCCGUGACAAUUCCAUGAUAGUUGGCGCCCACCGUGGGGCCAGCGCACGGUGGAUUUGAGUUCUUGAAGGGCAACUUCGAAGGGCUCAAGGGAUAUGCUGUGGGCCGAAUGACCAAGAGUCGUCGUGGCAAGCUCUACAUCGACGACGAAGGCUGGGGCCCGGAGGUCGGCUCAAUUGAGUACGGAUACCGGGUCCCCUUCUGCGGAAUUCACGUCUUCAUAGGCCAGAUCGGCGAGUCAGAUCCUGAGCCGGACGUCCACACCAACCUCAUCGAAACAGCUCGGCGCACGAGGACUGCCCGUGUUCAAUCUGCCGUGAAGCAUGCCUUCGUAGGCUGCGUCCACGGCGGUGAAUACUCUGAAGGAUCGGUGGAGGGCGGUGAGACGACCGUCUGUUUUGAUAUUGCUUCAUCAACGGGCGAGACGGACUCUUUGUACCAACUGCAGGACGGCAUGCUCGAGGGCUGUUCCGAUGGCAGCAGUAUUCCGGACCCUCUUGAGCCGCCGAAUUGGGCCGGAGUCUUCAUGGCAGGGACACAGCCUGGGCAGAACUCUACAGCAGCGGCGGCAACAGCUACUCGGUUGGCCGCAGCCGGGUCAGGAGACCCUGUGCGCCCCCCGGCUCGGAUCUUGAUGGACCUCAUGGAUAAACUGACGACUCUGUUGACUGCCGUGGUAGAGCCGGCAGAUAAAGCCCAGCAUGACGCAGAGGUGGCACACAUACGUGAAGAGAUGGUGCAAGCUAAAGAGAAUCAUAGGAAGUUAGGAUGGCAGCUGAGCGGGCGGCUUUGGACGUUCGUGCUCAACAGCUUCAAGCGGAGACCUUCCGGCUCUCGGUGGAUCUGAACGCAUCGAACGAGGUCAUGAGGAGGAGGCAUCAGAAAACCCAAUCACGUCUGCCUCUAACGCUCGAUCCUAGGAAUCUUUUUCACACACCCGGGGCCCGGGGAGGUAAUCCGCCGGAGGCACCCCGGAUUACAACACCCGGCGCAUCGGUCCAGCCGCGCGCCAUGGAUCCAUCUCACAUAAUUACCGCUCCACCUCAUUACGUCCAAACACCGCCGGGUCACUUCUCCAACCCUUUGGAAAACCUCAUCGUACCAUCGGCUCGUCUGGCGGCUCUUCCAAUGGAAGGUGACUCACCGGCGGCAAUUGAAACACGGAGGGUAAGGGAACUUCUUCAAACAGCUCUGGCGCAGCAGGAUGCAUACUCCUACAGUCGAGACAAGAUCCAUUCAACUCCUCGCUCAAGCCGGAGCCCGAGUUACAGUAGGCAUAUCGAAUCUGUAGAUAUGUCAAGCAAUGCUCAACGCCACAACCGGCCAUACAGGCAUGAUUUGGUGCGGGCUGGAGCCCUUAACUUGGUGGAUCAGGAGAGGAUUCGUCAAGAGGCAGAACGAGCAGCAGCAGAUCAGGUGGCUCAUCAAACUUUUCCGGCUUAUCUAGCAACCUCGGUCGAGGCAGGAGUGGCCACAAGAACCGGAGGCAUUCCUUGCUUGGUGCCGGCCAUACGUAAUGAGCAUUUGCCAAAGGACUUUAAGGGGCCUUGUAAGGUGCCUAAUUACACAGCUGACUUAUAGCCUGGGGCUUGGAUUGAGAGUUAUGAGAUGGCUAUGGAGUUAUUGGAGGUCAGUUUCGGUGUCAAAACCGGCGGAUCUCGGGUAGGGGGUCCCAAACUGUGCGUCUAAGGUGGAUGGUAACAGGAGGCAGGGGACACGAUGUUUUACCCAGGUUCGGGCCCUCUUGAUGGAGGUAAAACCCUACGUCCUGCUUGAUUUAUUCUUGAUGAUAUGGGUAUUACAAGAGUUGAUCUACCACGAGAUCGGAGAGGCUAAACCCUAGAAGCUAGCCUAUGGUAUGAUUGUAUGUUGUCCUACGGACUAAAACCCUCCGGUUUAUAUAGACACCGGAGGGGGCUAGGGUUACACAAGGUCGGUUAGAAAGGAGGAGAUAUACAUAUCCGUACUGCCUAGCUUGCCUUCCACGCCAGUGUAACACCCUCGAUGCGACUAUAGCUCCCACGUGUCGAGGCACGACUUAGAGACAUAAUCGCAUUGAAGGCAUAUGUCGCAUGUUAGGCAAUCUUCACAACAUCCCAUGUAAUAUGAAUAAUAAAGGGGAGAUAACAUAGUUGGCUUACACUCGCCACGUCAAUCAAGUACAUAAAUAACAUUACAUCAUCCAAACACUCAUGGCCCGACUACGGCGCCAAAAUCAAAGAGAACCCAACAUGCGACACGGUCCCAAUCACCCCCAACUGGGCACCACUACUGAUCAUCGGGAAAGGAAACAUAGUAUCGUUGAGAGUCUUCGUCGAAUUCCCACUUGAGCUCACACGCGUCUCCUGGAGCGGAAUCAUCAGGCCCUGCAUCUGGUGUGGGUAUUUGUUCUUGAUGGUCUUCUUGUUCACUGGACGGUAGUCAACACAAAGUCGGUCCGUUCCAUCCUUCUUCUUCACAAAAAGAACACCACAACCCCACGGAGAAGAACUAGGCCGGAUGAGACCCAUUUUCUCUUGCAUAUCGAGUUGCUUCUUCAUCUCCUUCAACUCUUCAGGUCCGAGCUUGUAAGGACGUUUGCACACAGGUUCCGUGCCAGGCUCAAGAUCAAUAACGAAUUCAACUGGCCGGUGCGGAGGCAUUCCUGGAAGCUCUUCUGGAAAGACGUCUUGAUAUUCGCAAACGAUUGGAAUUUGAGAGAUGGCAUCCAAUUCACCCUUCUCAUUGAGAGAAAGCAGACGGAUGGUAUUAUCCCGAGCGGCAAAGACAAUUACAUCCUCAGACGAAUGAGUCAGUUGAAUCUGCCUGGCUGCACAAUCAAGCUGAGCCUUGUGCUUAGAAAGCCAAUCCAUCCCGAGAAUAAGAUCAAUAUCCGAGUCACCAAGAACAUUUGGAGAGGACAAGAACUUAUAGUCACCCAAAGUGAUAGUAACAUCCGGAACGCAUACUCGAGAUGUUAUUUGACGGGCUGGAGAGACGAUAGCCAAUGGCUUCGGCAACACUUGAGUAACAAAAUCAUGCUUAGAUGCAAAAGGUCUCGAGAUGAAACAAUGCGAUGCACCAGUGUCAAAAAGAACUUUAGCUGGAAUAUCAUUAACAGGAAGGUUACCCAUGAUCACAUCUGAUGAGUCCUCUGCCUGAGCUGCAUUCAUCAAAUUGACCUUGGCAUGCUUGGGGUUAUGCUUGACCACAGUUGUACUUGCCGAUCUGACAGGAGGAGGAGGAAGACGCCUCUGGUUGAAACACUUGUUGGCAUAGUGACCCUUCUGUUGGCACUUGUUGCACGUGACCUCUGAAAGCGGACGGUGAUACGGAGCACUCGAUCUUGGAGCUUGAGACGAAGUCUUGUUCUGAAAGCCAGGGUUGGGUGGGUGGGAAGAACCACUGUCACCUUUGCUCUUCUGCUGAAAUGACUGACGGAACGGAGGAGGAGGAAGCCAAAACUUCUGCUGCUUGGUCACUUGAGUAGAGGAAGAAGGAGUAACAUCUCUGACUCGCUUCUUGGAAGCAUCACACCUCAACUGAGCAGCCUCUUGCUUCAGUGCCAUGUUGUAGAACUCAUCGUACCUCAAGGGAUCAAAGAGAACAAGAGCGAGCUGAAUUUCUUCUUUGAGACCACCCCUGAACUGAUAUAUCAUGCUCUUCUCAUCAGGGACGUCCUUCUUGGCAAAGCGGGCGAGCUUCUGAAACAACUUGUUGUAGUCAUAGACAGACAAAGAGCCUUGCUUCAGAUUGCGGAAUUCCUCACGCUUGCUUUCAACCACGCUAUGAGGAAUAUGAUGAGCUCGGAAAUCUCGACGGAAAUCAUCCCAAGUGAUAACACGUCCACCCCUGGAGUCCUUGUACUGCUGGAACCAUUCUGCAGCUUGAUCUUUGAGUUGGAAGGAAGCGAACUUAACAAAGUCCUCAGGCCUGACGUUACUGCACUCGAAAUGCUUACACAGAUCCACAAGCCAAUCGUCAGCAUCGGUUGCCUCAACACAAUUGCUGAAAGUCUUUGGCCCGUUAGCAAGGAACUAGUUGAGUGUAGCAAAGUGACUCUGAUUGCUGCCUUGAUUCCCUUGACUGCCUUGAUUGCACUCUUGAAGAAUUUGCAUGAUCAGCUGUGUGUUUGCAUUGGUUGCGGCCAUCACAGCUUGCCAUGCCUCUGGAGGAGGUGGAGGUGGUGGCGGAUCAGGAUUUGGAGUCGUGCGUGUUGGAGGGGCCAUCCUGAAGAGGUUGACCACCAUUAGCACAUUGACAGAUAAAAUUGAAGCUGAAUCCAACGAAAUAAAAAUUGCAACAUAUAGUCUUCACAUCCGAACAAAAUGAACGAAUGCAUUCCUCUUGAAAUGGUCACAUAUCCAUAAAUUGAGAAGCCACAUAGAAUUAAGGUAGAGAAAUAAAUCAACAAGGUACAGAUCCAAAACGAAUAAUCGGUAAGAAAUCCCAAUCUCAAACCAAUAUCCGUGGAAGAAGAACUAGAGCUACUAGAAUUCCCACCUAUGAAACUCCCGAAUUUUUCCGGUUAUGCAAUCAGGUGUUGGGGAUACAGGGGAAGCAUAAUAUCUCACCCAAACUAGCAAUUCCUACAUCCAGCUAUAUCCAUCCUUCAACACAUAACCAAGAAACCUUCGGAAACCAUCUACCUCAACCUUCGAAAAGCAUCCAUUAUACAAGUUAUGGCGAUACUCCUGAACUCCCGCCCCAGUACUGGGUGGCGUCGAGGUUAUCUCACCAACGAACUGCAUAAAAGAGAUUUUUGAUGUCGGCGUACUAGACUCAGGUAUUCCAGAACUGUAACGAUAAAUUAUGAUGACAACACCUCAGAGCUCAACUCCCCGGGACACUUCCACUAAACCCCUGACAGGAGGCACCAAGUCAAUGUUCUCAUCAUAAAACCAUCAGAACGAUUCCAAGAUACCCGCGUGAUCCUAAAUUUUCUUUAGUGAAAUUUGAGAAGAGAAGAGUCAAAACUCUACGUCAGGGUGCCUUACCAGAGCAAUGAGGAGACUGGGAAGUAAAAAGAAUUCCUAAACUCUCCGAUAUAUAAUUCCUAAAUGACUCAAAACAUUUUUCUAGACACAACUCGUCCGCUAAUAACGAUCAAGCAAUGGGGCUCCUAAGGUCGGGGAAGGCUCUGAUACCAACUUGUAACACCCUCGAUGCGACUAUAGCUCCGAUGUGUCGAGCACGACUUAGAGACAUAAUCGCAUUGAAGGCAUAUGUCGCAGGUUAGGCAAUCUUCACAACAUCCCAUGUAAUAUGAAUAAUAAUGGGGAGAUAACAUAGUUGGCUUACACUCGCCACGUCAAUCAAGUACAUAAAUAACAUUACAUCAUCCAAACACUCAUGGCCCGACUACGGCGCCAAAAUCAAAGAGAACCCAACAUGCGACACGGUCCCAAUCACCCCCAACUGGGCACCACUACUGAUCAUCGGGAAAGGAAACAUAGUAUCGUUGAGAGUCUUCGUCGAAUUCCCACUUGAGCUCACACGCGUCUCCUAGAGCGGAAUCAUCAGGCCCUGCAUCUGGUGUAAUAGUAAUCUGUGAGUCACAGGGACUCAGCAAUCUCGCACCCUCGCGAUCAAGACUAUUUAAGCUUAUAGGAAUGGCAAGGUAAAAUAUGAGUGGAGCUGCAGCAAGCAACUAGCAAGUAUGGUGGCUAACUUAUUCGCAAAAGAGAGCGAGAAGAGAAGGCAAGCAUGAGCGGGAAACUAGAGAGCAACUUGCGCAAACAUUACUCCAACACUGUGUCCACUUCCCGGACUCCGCCGAGAAGAGGCCAUCACGGUAACACACUCAGUUGAUUCAUUUUAAUUUAAUUAAGGUUCAAGUUAUCUACAACCGGACAUUAACAAAUUCCCAUCUGCCCAUAACCGCGGGCACGGCUUUCGAAAGUUCAAACCCUGCAGGGGAGUCCCAACUUAGCCCAUGACAAGCUCUCACGGUCAAUGAAGGAAUAGACCUCCUCCCAAGACAUUCCGAUCAGACUCGGUAUCUCGGUAAAUCAAGACACUUCAACAGGUUAAAACAAGACCAGCAACACCGCCCGAAUGUGCCGACAAAUCCCGAUAGGAGGUGCACAUAUCUCUUUCUCAGGGCACACUCAGAUAAGCAAUCCGUACAACUAAAACCAGCCCUCGAGUUUCCCCAAGGUGGCACUGCAAGGGGCUCUAGUUUGGACCAACACUCAGAGGAGCACUGGCCCGGGGGGGGGGGGGUUAAAAUAAGAUGACCCUUGAGUCUACAGAACCCAAGGGAAAGAAAAGGCUAGGUGGCAAAUGGUAAAACCAAGGUUGGGCAUUGCUGGAAAAGCUUUAAUCAAGGCGAACUAUCAAGGGGUUCCCAUUAUAACCCAACCGCGUAAGGAACGCAAAAUCCGGGAACAUAACACUGAUAUGACGGAAACUAGGGCGGCAAGAGUGGAACAAAACACUAGGCGAGAGGCUGAUCCUUCCACCCUUUACCAAGCAUAUAGAUGCAUUAAGAUAACAUAGCAAUAUAAUGAUAUCCCAACAAGUAAAUAAAUGUUCCAACAAGGAACGGCCUCCGAUCUUCACCUGCAACUAGCAACGCUAUAAGAGGGGCUGAGCAAAGCGGUAACAUAGCCAAUCAACGGUUUGCUAGGACAAUGGUGGGUUAGAGGUUUGACAUGGAAAAUAGGAGGCUUGCAAGCAAGUGGUAGGCAUCAUAGCAUUGGCAUAGCAAAAGAGCAAGCAAACUAGCAUAGCAAAGGUAGUAGUGAUUUCGAGGGUAUGAUCAUCUUGCCUGCACAGUUGUCAGAGUUGACUGGAUCCUCAAAAGCAAACUCAACGGGCUCCUCGUUAGCAAACUCGUCUCCUGGCUCUAACCACACAAGACAAACAUGCAACAAGGAUACAAUCAACCACGUGCAAACUCAAACAACACAAUGCAAAGAUGAUAUGCUAUGCGGGAUGCACAAUGCAAGAUAUGACAGGAAAUGCAUGAACCUGGCCUCAACUUGGAAAUCCAAGUGUGCCACUGGAAAGAUGAGAUGAAAUCGCUUGAAAACGAUAUAAAGAACGCCGGAAUCGGAGUUACGGUUUGGAAAUGGCAAGCGAUUCAAAAAUGACACCGGUCUGCGAUUUACAGCAAGUAGGCAUCUAAAUGCAAUGAAAUGAACAUGCUACAGCACCCAAACAUGUCAACACAAUACAUGGCAGGGAUGCACACAAGAUGCUUAACAAAAGUCUAGCACUGAGCUACGGCCAAUUCAUCCAUUAGGAGGUUCAAACAAGCAUGGCAAAAACGCAAAUGGCAAACAGUUCUCAGACUUAGUGAAAUUAACACUUGUCUGGAAUUUCAGAUCAUAUAGCCCUCUUCGGAGCAACAAAACAUCAUGCUACAGGACCUUAACAUGACAAAGAAAGACAUUUCAUGGAGCUACUCAACAAGCUUAACAAAAGUCCCUUAGUGACCUUGAGCCAAAAGGGAUCACAAAAUAUACUAACAAGCACACGAACAUAGCAAAAACAUAACCAAUUUUCAGACUUAGUGAAAACUGGGACAUGCUAAAACAUAACUCAUGAAGGCAUGUUUACGAGCUUGAUGCACUCACUACGGUGCAAGUCAUGGCAAGGCAAGCAUACACCCAUCAAGAAGGCACAAAAUGCAAUCUAGACAUGGCAAGAACAAUGGCAUAGCAUGCACGGAACAACUACAAUAACAUCGGCAAAAUCGCAAACAAGUAGAGCUCGAUUGACUCAAGCUAGGGUGCCCCAUAAUUGCAAACAAAGUCAUGGAUGGAUAGAGCACUACAAGAUUAACAAAACUCCCUUACUGAUCAUCCUCAAAAGAGGCACGGAUCACUAGGAAACAACAUGAACAUAUGGCAUCGUGAGAUAAAUAAUCCCAGGACUUGGUGAAAUUACUAAGUCCCUGAAAAACAGAAUUAGCAAGUGCACCACUUUGCAAGCUUGCACAAGUCACCACACACAUCCUAAAAAAUACAUGGGUUGCACCUCUGGAGAGAUGACAAAACCCUUAACAAAACAUAUCUAGAACUCACGGGCAUAGCAUGCACACAAUAAUCAUGGCAAAAAUGACAAAAGUGCUAAACGGAGUAACAGAUCUGACAAUUAUCUCAAGUAGCCCUCUUCUAACAGCAUUUCGGGAAUCAAGAUGAGCUCAAAUGAAAAUGAUGCAAUGGAAUGAAAUGAUGUACUCUCUGAGAUGAACAUUUUGAUAUGCUAUAUGCCCAAAUCGGAGCUAUGGAUGCAAAGUUACGGAGCCUCGAACAGGGGCAUAUGGAUCAAGAAUUUCAGGACUUAGCAAAAAAAAAAA